rnacentral:lncRNA from 1 species
AAAUUCUUCCUCUGCUUCUUUUCUGGGUACUAUUUCACUCACUCUUUGUGUACUCUGCUUCUUUUCUGGGUACUAUUUCACUCUCUCUUUGUGUACUCUGUCUCUGUGAUUUUUAUUAUUUGGGUUGAUUUAUCACUAAUUUUUUAGUGUUUCUGAUCUGGGUUUUCUGAUUUUUCCCUAAAUAUUUGAUCUUUUGGCAUAUAUGAAUAUGUUAGAUAUGCAGGUUGCUGCUUAACUUGUGUUUGAAUUAAGCAAAGAUUGAAAUUUGCACAUAGUAUAGGCCCCUGUUCAUCUUUCUGUUUAUAAUUAUGUUAAUGAUCUCGGAAUUCGGAAUCGUAGAAUAAUUAGCAGCCAAAACAAGCACACUCUUCGUGAUCGGUGCCGAGAAUGCUCGUCAAUUUUAGAUAAUCCAUAUGAUUUGUAUUGGAAAAUUGUGUGGCAAGAUGUUGUUCAUGUGUGUGGUAGAAUUUUGGAAGAUGGUAUUCUAAUUAACAGAUAAUAUCUUGUUCAGGUUCAAGAUCGAUGGUGAGUUUCGAAGAUGUACGCGGAGGAAGUGGAUUGAAUAGGUCAUUGUUCCACCAGUAUGAGCACGAAGAUAACGGGGAAGAUGACUUGGGUGAGUAUCUCCAUCAACCUGGGAAGAAGAGGCGGCUAACCGCUGAUCAAGUCCAGUUUCUCGAAAAAAGCUUUGAUGUGGAAAACAAGCUGGAACCAGAGAGGAAAGUCCUGCUUGCAAAGGACCUUGGCUUGCAGCCUCGGCAGGUUGCGAUAUGGUUCCAGAACCGCCGGGCGAGGUGGAAGACAAAACACCUUGAGAAGGAUUAUGAGGUGCUGCAAGCCAACUACAAUAAUCUCAAGGCUAACUGUGAAAGCCUUUCGAAAGAGAAUGAUAAACUGAAGGCCGAGGUAGCGAUUAAUAUAUGUCAUUCGCUGCCUUAGUUUUUCCAUUUGUAGUAUUUUGCUCUCGAAUUUGACAUGAUAUGUUUGAAUUGGUCAUCAGGUUCUUAUCCUCUCAGACAAGCUGCAACUCAAAGAGAAGGAGAGGGAAAAUUCAGAACUAUCUGAUACCAACAAAUUAUCUCAAGAACUGCCGCAGAAGCCAAUUGCUGACUCGGCCUCCGAAGGCGAAGUAUCAAAAGUCUCAGCUGUGGCCUCUAAGCAGGAAGAUCAUAGUUCAGGCAGGAGUGACAUAUUUGAUUCAGACAGCCCACAUUACCCGGAUGGAGUUCACUCUUCACUCUUAGAGCCUGGUGAUUCUUCAUAUGUUUUCGAACCUGAGCAGUCUGACCUUUCCCAAGAUGAAGAAGAUAACUUCAGCAAAAGCCUGCUGCCUCCAUACAUCUUCCCAAAGCUUGAAGAUGUUGAUUACUCCGAUACGCCUGCAAAUUCCUGUAAUUUCGGAUUCCCGAUGGAAGAUCAUGCCUUUUGGUCCUGGUCUUACUGAGUUUCUUCUGCAAAAUUCGAAUUCCCGGGUUAUUAUCUUCUUGUUUAAAGUAUGGCAUAGAAGUGAAAAUAAGUAGCAAAAUGUCGCACCCCGAUCCAGAUGUGGUGGUGGGAGCUAGGUUUCAAAUGCAAAAGAUGGUGGAUUUUGCCCCAUUUGUAAUCUUUUUUUAUUUCAUGGGGAUCUUAAUUAGUGUUUAAUGGACCAUUUUUGUAUGCAAUUCAUGUAAUUAAAUAAAAUUAUCUUGUUAAUGCAACUUGACGGAAAAAGCCUCUCAUUUCAUCUCUUCUUAUUUGAAAAAUGGGGUAAAUUACAUUUUCAUACCCUCAGGUUUGGAGUCUAUUUCAAUCCCAAAUACAACAUCUUCAAAAAAAUUUCACUUUCAUACCUUAAGUACUAUUUUAUUUCAAAAUAAUACAUCCGUUUACAUUUUCCAUCCAUUGAUCUGUUAAAUGCUGACGUGGCUGCCACAUAAUAUGCCAUGUGGCUGCUAAAUAUCUGUCAUGUGGCAAAAAAAAUUAAUUUUUUUUAAAUUUUUUUUAAAAACCUAAAUCUUCUAAAUAUAAAUAAUAAUUAAAAAAAAAAACUGAAAUAAAGCACCCCGUCAACCAAAAACCCAGAAACACAUAACCCCCCAAAAUCAGAAACCCAGAAAGAACCCCCACCCGCCUGCGACCCUCCUUGUGCACCCCCCAACCCGUGGCCCUCCCCUCCCUCCCUCCGCACCAACCUUCGCACCCACCCUCUUCCCUUCUCUACACACCCCCACUCCUUAAAUUCGGCGAUGGCGAGACGGGAUCUGGAGGGUUUUUUUUUUUUUUUUCCCGGGUUUGCAGGGAAGAAGAAGAAGAUGGGGGAGAUGGGUUUGGGGAUUGCGGGGAGAAGAGAGGAGAGAUGAGGAUGAGGGGGAUAAGAUUUUUUUUGGGGGGGGGGGAAGCGAGGUGAGGUCGUGCGGGAGGGGGGAGCGAGGUGAGGUCGCCCGGGGGGGGGUGGGGAAGGAGGCUGAGGUCACGCGGGGGGUGGGGGGGAGCGAGGUGAGGUCGCAGGGGAGGGGGGAGGUGAAGGAGGGUGAGGGGAUUUUUUUUUCCCCCUUCUUCCUCCCUCCUCCUCUUCUUCUUGCUGCUGCUGUAGGUUUUUGGAUUUUGGGUUAAGGAUAGGGAUUUGGGUCGCUGGGGGGAGGAACUGUGUUUUGGGAUUUUUUUUUUUUUUGUUUUUCCUUCUUCCUCCCUCCUCUUCUUCUUCUUGCUACUGCUGCAGGUUUUUGGAUUAAUGGGUUGCUUGGGGGGGGUUAGGGAUAGUGGGUUUAUUUUUUUAUUUUUUUUAAAGAAAAAUUCAGGUUAAAAAAAAAAAAAUUAUUUACCAUGUGGCAGACAUUUGGCAGCCACGUAGCAUACAUGUGGCAACCACGUCAGCAUUUAACGGAUCAAUAGAUGAAAAAUGUAACGGAUGUAUUAUUUUGAAAUAAAAAGUAUUAAGGUAUAAAAGUGAAAUGUUUUGAAGAUGUUGUAUGAGGUUGUAAUAACCUCAAAACCUGAGGGGCUACUGUGUAAUUUACCCUUGAAAAAUUCAUGAAACAAGUUCUAAACACGCACGGAAGAGAGAAGAGAGAGAGAGAGGAAAGAAGAGAGAGAGAGAGAGGAAAGAAGAGGCAGAGAGGAAGAAGAGGAAAAUGAGGGGAGAUUAAAGAGAGUUAUCUUUGUACUUCUAUUAUUCCAAAUUAUAAUGAAAGCACUACUGCUGCCUCGAGGACGUACUCCAGUCACACUGACUGUAGAGGAACCUCGUAAAUUUUGUGUCUUGUUUCAUUUAUUCCACUGCACUCACCGUCGAUUUUACAAUAUGUUAUCAGCACGAGAAGCUCUCAUGUCGGUGGAAAGCACAACGCCAUAAAUCUGGUAAAGCACUACCUACCUCUCACCUCUAUCGGCUGGAAUCUCACAGAUAAGAAAAUCUUUUCAUUUUUUUUAUACCUCUAAAUGACUAAUUUUCUUAAAGUAAAUAUACAUGUGGUUAUAUAACUAUUGUCAUUAUUAUUGGCAGAAAAUCUGACAGUCAUAUGAGCUUUGAAACUUCAACUUCCAAUGCUCAUACAGAAACCAUUACUUCAUAAAAGUUGUUCCUUAUCCUCUCUCCCAUAACAUACCACAAUUCCAGAACCAUCCAACAGUUAAAUCAUUCCAGAUCUUAGAAAUAAUACUACAGACUCAAAAUCCGUAGAAAAUCUGGCAGCCAUGUAAAUAGCCUAUGAACUCCAACUUCCUGACAUGACAUCCGAUUAAAAUACUUUCUUCUUGAAAGUUGUUGUCCACCUAGUACCUAGAACAUAUCCAAAUUUCGGAAAUUGUCAACGGUUCGAUCGUCGCAGAUGACUAAAACUUCAACUCAGCUUUCAUUUCCGCAGAAAACUGGACAGCCAUCUUAUGAGUACCAAACCUUUAUUUUCAGAAGCUCAACUCAAAACUGUUUCUUCACGAAAGUUGUUUGGUAUCUUCUUAUCCAUAUCAUACUAAAUUUUGAGUUAAAUCUAACGGUUUGAUCUUUCUUAUAAGUGGCAGACAAAUAAAAGUGUUAUUAUUUUGGGUAGUUGGAAAGAAAAAAAAUAUAUAUAUAUAUAUAAAUUGAAAAAGGGAGCAAAUGGAUGGUGUGUCGGUUGGACUAUUUAAAGAAAACAAAAAGGGUUUUGGAAUGGUGACUUGCACCAUUCUGAAAAGAAAAAAAAAUUGGAAAUGUGGAUUUUGGUGCAUGAUGUUGACACAAAAGGAGAAAAGAACAAAGAUUAUCGGAUGGUGCACAGCACCAUGUGAAUAAAUAAGAAACAAAAAUAUAUAUUUAUUUAUGUGUACGGUGUUGGUUUAAAGCCCAUGUCACAAGUUUUAUUUAUUUAAAGCAAUUUAUUUACAGUGGGUAGAAUUAUUACCCUUUGCUUUAAAGCUUUGAUAUUUAUGUGAAUGGUGUUGAAUCAAAGCCUUUGUCACAAGCUUUAUUUACUUUAAAACAAUUUAUUUACCAUGAACGGUUUUACCGCCUACUGCUUUAAGUUUUGAUUUAUGUGAAUGGUGCUGAAUUAAAGCCCUUAUCACAAGCUUUAUUUACUUAAAUGCAAUUUAUUUACUAUGGCUGGAAUUACCGCCUAUUGCUUUAAUUUAUUUAUUGUACUUACCUUUUGUUACGAUAAGUAUAUAUAGGGCCCAAAGUUCCUUGAUCAUAUUAGAACCUGCAGUUUCUUGAUCCUCAUCAUAUAAAAUGAUUGGACCCGAAGUUCCAUCACGUAAAAAGAUCAGGUAUGAAGUCUUUUGAUCCUGAAGAUUAGGACAUGAAAUUCCUUGAUGGGUACCGUAAGUUUGAAGUGUCGCAGUGCCUCAACUUAAUUGUAAUAAAAGUCAUAAGAGUCUCAGUCUACAGACUAUUAAAUAAGGACCAGAAGUUCCUCAUGCCCAUACUCAAAAUGGUUUAGCAGAAGCAUUUAUUAAGCGAAUGAAAUUAAUUACCCGCGCUCUACUCAUGAAAACAAAAUUGCUAGUUUUCUACAUGGGGACAUGUCAUUUUACAUGAUGCAUUAUUAAGUUCGAUUGAGACCAGUUACCAACCAUCAAUAUUUCUUAGUACAACUCGUGUUUGGGCACUAGCCAAGCAUUAUACAUUUACGAGUUUUUUGUUGUGUUAUCUAUGUGCCUGUAAGACUGCCACAACGUACUAAAAUAAGGCAUCAAUACAAACUAGGAAUUUAUGUUGAAUUUGAUCCACCAUCUAUCAUUUUGAUAAGACAUUUACCGCAUGAUUUGGAACCUUGGACUGGGGAUAUAUUUACCGCAUGAUUUGCGGACUAUGAUUUUGAUAAGACAUUUUUCUUGCCAUUAGAGGGAGAAAAUAACAUCAUUCCAGAAAAACAAUGAGAAAAUAUCAUUCCAAAAGAAUGAUAAGAAAAUACCGUUCCAGAAGAACAAAGAGAAUUUGUCUUUGUGAACACGGAAAAUUCCUGAAACGAAAGAGACAAGAACAACGUGCACAAAUAAAUUUUUGUAUUUGAUGAUUUUGGGUUACAAUCUCUCUCAAAUUUGGUCAUCUGAUUCGAUCUCCGUAAGGUGUUGCUUUGUGGAUGUUUCGUUGAUCCAAGGGCCAUCGAGGCUUGAUCUUGGAUGAACUGUUGAAAGUUUCUUCAAGGGGCCGUGGGCUUGAUCUUUGAAGGUGGAUUUGAGCGGAUCUUCAAGGCCUUUUGGGCUUGAUCUUGAAGAAACAGUGAUGAACAGAUCUUCAAGGGCUUUUGGGCUAAUCUUGAAGAACGGUUGGAUGUGUGUGGAUUUGUCGACGUUGUUGAUCCAAAGGGUCGUUGGGGCUUGAUCUUGGAUUGGUGGAAGUUCUUCAAGGGCCGUUGAGGCUUGAUCUUGGAAGAACGAUGAACGAAGAACGAAGAAGGCUUUCUUGAUUCUUCGGGAACCUGGAUGCUUGAGAGCUUCGGAGUUUCAGAGCUUCAGAGCUUCAAGGUGUAAUAUGAAUUGGUUCCCCCCAAAUGAAUGAAAUGGGCUUGUAUUUAUAGAAUUUUCCAAUGCCUAAUUUUGAAUAUAAUAUCCCAGAUGAAAUAAGUCGUUUCUGCCAGGUGUUGACACGUGUUCUAUUUGAUGACUUUUCCAACUCAUUUCAAUUUUCGUUGAGUCACACGCUACGUGUAAAAUUUAUGUAAUACAUGAGCGUUGACACUUUGAUUUAUCGGUCAACAUUUAUUUACCGAAAUUUCGAUGUCUACAGUCUUAUUUUGAUUCACGAAGCAAUCAAUGAGAAAAUGAAAUAGGAAUAAUUGAAUGAUGCAACGAAAGUGAUGAAAUCAUAUAUACUUGCUGCAAAUGUGCCUACAAGAAUUGAUGUCCCUGUUGGACAAAAUAAUGAGACAGUAAAUGAUUUAUCUGUUGUAUGCCUGAAGCGUGGCAGACUUUUAGACUCAAAAGGUUUAGUCAUUUGAAAGAAGAAGAAUAUGACACUACUGAGCUAUUACAUUCCCGAAGCAUAACUGUUGUAUGCCAUAAGCAUGACAGUCACCGCAGGGAUACACGUCCUAGAUAGGACAAUCCACGGACAUGGGAAUAUUAAUGUCUCAUGCAUGUAGCAUGAUAGACGUAUAGGUUCCAAUGACUCAACUUCCCGAAAGUGGAGAUUAAAAUCCAAGCUCUAUAACGCUCAAGAUGAGGUUAUGAUCCACAUUCUCUAAAUUAUGACUAUCCUGGAAGAGAUAGUGUCAUGCCCUUGAAGAGGCAAUGGAUAUCCAAAGAAAUGGAAAGCUUUUAUGCAUGCGCAUGCACAUGAGAAUAUGGGAUCACAGAUUGAUGAUAACCAAUGGUGAUUUUGGUUUUUACAAGUAGCUACUAAAUUCAUCAAUAGCUGUGUUAAUAUUGAGUCACAUUCUUUUGUUCGUCGACAAAAAGGAAAAUUAUUGGCCAAAAAAUGGAGAAAGGCAAUUUCAUUACAAUUUUGUAAGAAUGUGGAAAAAUGGACAUAUAUAUAUUUGAAUACAAUACAAAUAGCCAAAAGAUGUUGAACCAAGGAGGUUACAUAUGGGCAUUUGUAAUACACUCACAUGAUAUGACACAAGGUUACUAAUUGAAACCUGAAAUUAUACUCUUGUAAACGAGUUCAUAUAAAUGGAGAAUUAUAUACGAAGGGUUGUGAGUUGCCCACAUCAUAUCUCCAUAAGUAAAUCCCUCAAGUAUACAUGGGAGCAAAUUGCUCUGUAUAAAUUCUAAAGGAAAAUAUGUCAUGAAGUGUAGAAAAUCCCUGAAGGAUUCAAAUUGCUUGAAGUAAGCCCCCGAAGGGUAAAACAUAAAAUAUGUACUCAAUACCAAUGGAUGGUAUAAAUUGCCUUAGUGAGUAUCAUUAUGAUAUUGUUGCAACAUACUAAAAUCUCUUGCAAGAGUCAAUGACAUUAAAUUAGAACUCCUAAAGAGUUGAUGAUAUUAAACUGAGACUCCUGAAGAGUUAAGAAAGAUUAUAAAAUGUUGAGUGAAUUAUUGUCUCGAGCUGCAGAUCGAACAAUCUACCAAUACGAAUCAUAUCCAUGAUGUUUAUCAUAUUAAAAGAACCAUAUGGAUUGAAGAUUAUGAGUUGAAUACUCAAAUGAUGUAGACACUAAGAAUAAUAAUUUAUCUUCGUGAGGGUAAAGAUAAAUUAAUAUUUGGUCCAGAAGUACCACAUCUUAGUGAAGUAUAUGCUUUAUUAUAUUUGGCACAAUACAUUGAAUGAAAUAAAGCUUAUCUAUUAAUAUUUCCAAGAAAUUACAGAUAUGUACAUACACAUGAGUUAAAACAAAUAAACAGGAAUGAGCCUUCACAAAGGUUGCUCAUGUGAAGCCUCAGUACUCGGAAGUACCCCAGAAGGGGGAGGCACUGGAGAUUGAUCAUGUGGCACCCUAGUACUUGGCAAAACACCAGAAGGGGAAGGCAUCGGUUGCUUUCGGAAUCUAGCAACGAACCUCUGGUGAUCCUUUGAAUCCGACUUUCGGAUUUCUGCAGUUGGUUGAGCUUUCUUUUCAUGCUCGUCAAGUACUUAUUAACAAGCACAUGUAACACUCUAUUCUCGUGCUUGAGCCCUCUGAUUUCUUGUUUAAGACUUGACACCUCAGCCAUCAAUGAUUCAACUUGGCGAGUUUGAGCAAGUAGGCGUUGGAAUAUUGGAAGCUGAGUGAGUUUGAGUUUUGAUCAUCAGACCGUUUUUGAAAGGAGUGAGAAGAUUCCUAACUACCAUAAUAGCGGUUAUGUUAUUCUUCAUCACAGAGUCCCCAACCGUAAGAGAACCAUUAGAAGAUAAGAAGGACGGGCGCCAUAUGUUAUCCUGACGCUGCUCGUCUGUAUCACUUCUAAGACUCAAAUCUAAGCAAAUGUUAGAUGGGUAAGUCAAAAUUUCAGAAAAAUGAAAAUUUUCGGAAGUGCAAGAUGGAGAAAUUUCUACAGGCACAACAACUUCGUAUGAGUAACACAACACAAUUGAUGUCUAUAUAAAAGAAUAGGCAACAUAGUCACUUGUUCAGAGAUCGAAGAGGCACCGCUCUCCAAAUUUCAAAAGCCAGAUUUUCCUGAAUAAAGUUCGUUGACAUUUUUCAGACGCAAUCUUAGCUUUUUUGGAUAUCGCGUGCAACUUUGUCAAAGAUCUCUGACAAAGUUGAAAACGCGUAAGUCUUACUGUUCUAAUUACACCACAGUUGCUAACAAGAGUAAAGGCACAACACCACUACCUGUUAUUGGGAAAUCUCUAUAUAUGUCGACCUCCGUUCUCCAUAACAAGGCAGACCUGCAAAAAUGUCCAACUCUUCCUCAUCUCCGAGAAUGCAUUUUGAUGUCCAACUCUUCUUACUAAGAGACUGAAGCAGAAUGAUCAACGAUCUGCCUAAAUGAUUUGAAAUUAGGGGGAGCAUCCAAACAGAUCAAGAUUUUAACAAGUCAAUAGAAGACUUGUGGCCAUCCAAGGGAGAGUGUUGUGAAUAAUAUGUGGAUGGCCCACACAAUGACUAUAUGUUCACUAUUUCAUUUGUGGAAAAUUUGUAAAGUGAAUAGUGUUUUCUUUUGUUUGUAUAUUUGAAGAAGAGAAGAAGAGGUGAGUGACUCACGAAAAAGAGAAGAGAGAGAGAGAGAGGAAGAAGAGGAAAAUGAAGGGGAGAUUAAAGAGAGUUAUCUUUAUACUCCAAUUAUUCCAAAUUAUAAUGAAAGCACCACUGCUGUCUCGAUGACGUACUCCAGUCACACUGACUAUAGAAGAACUUCGUAAAUUUUGUGUCUUGUUUCAUUUAUUUCAUUGCACCUACCGUCGAUUUUACAACAUGACGUGAUUUGUUGCAUAAGUGGGGUACAAUACAUGGCAUUGAAGCCAUACAAUUUUUUUUAUUUGUGAUGAGAAAAUUAGUAAUAGUUCCUUAUAAAACUCGACGUGAUUUGUUGCACAAGCGGGUAAACUUAACAACAGAAUGAAAAAGUAGGUAGUGAAAAGGUGCAUAAGAACCGCAUAACCCCUCCUCGUUUCCCACAUUGUGGGUCUGAAGUGACAGCCGUGAAACAGAGUAAUAAAGAUUGUCUGCCCUCCUGGUUCCCGUAUUCUCAUGUUUGUAUGGUUACGGUUAAACCACGUCAAUAUUUUAUAUUAUUAUUUAUUUUUAUCUUAUUAUCUCUAUAAAAAAACAAUAUAAAAUGUUAACGUGGCUUAACCGUGACCACACAAAAUAGGAGGACACGAAAACAAAGAGGGCAGACAAUCCUUGUCUGAGUAAUAAUACAAGAAUGAUGCAAAGCGGCCCACUCAUGAGAGCCUCUUGCUUUGUUUGUACGUAAUAAUCUAAACCAGAAUAAUAACACAAAGUUGAAUGAUGCAAACCCACUCAUGAGAGCCUCUUGCUCUGUUUGUAUGUAAUAAUCCAUCUUCUAGAGUGCUUACUAAAAUGUUAAUUAUCCGUCUUCACUCAAGAUCUCAGUCCCAUAAUUCUAUUUUUGUAUAAAUUAUGGAGUAAAUAGGAACGUUAAAAAUUAUUUUUACAAAAAAAGAAGAAGCUAAAAUGAAGAUAUUUUGCUCAUCUGAUUAUUCUUUAAUGAAGAGGCAAACUACAUUUUUCAGUUAACAAUUCAAAUUAUGACAAUUUUAAUUGAACAAUUAAAUGUCUUUAUUUAGUUGGUUUUGUGCGUGAUUAAGUUCAAAGAGUAACUUAGAAAAUGAACAUUCUAAGCAUCAAUCAACAUUGUCUCGUUUUUUUUUUGGUCGUGAACAUGUAUUUACUCCUACUUCAUCGUAUAAAUGCUCCUUCAUCUGCCGUUGCUAUCCAUGAUCAUGGCAAUUCUGCACGUCAAACCAAAACAUGCAUAGUGCGGUCUAGUGCAGAUUCCAUUAACAUCGACCGCAUAUAUAUAUAUAUAUAUAUAUAUAUAUAUAUAUAUGCAUGGUGUGUGUAUGUAUAUGCCCGAUGUCGGGUGGAUGGACCACUGGCCUGCUUGACUGCUUCAGUGACUGCGAAGUCUGUACGCGCAGCUUCUAUUCUCUUCACUUCCUGGCUAACUAACUAAAUCAAUUAUAGCAUGCAUGUUUACUUAUUUGGUAUAUGAAUAUAUACCGAUUGAUGAUUUGAUCAUACAAACCCUAAACCUAUAUAUAACGUAAUUUGGACUGCAGGCUGCUUGGGAUUUUGGUGUCCUUGCGUUGUUGCCGGGCGUGUUGCAGAGAUUGUUUCCAAAGGACAUACCAGUAACGUUUCUUUUAAGAACCCAGUAACUCGAUAUGUAAACUUGAUUGAGGGCCGGUUUUGAACUGCUUCUUUGCUUUCUGCCUUAGUCAAUCGAAAGUUGUUUUGAAUAACUUUAACAUAAAAAUUUAAAAAGACUUUCUCGAGAAGCACCUAUUAACUAGUCACUUUCUCGAUAGCACAUUCAAAUUCCUUUCCAUGAAGCACUUGGAUUUUAUAAGAAACACUUGGAUAUAAUAAAUUUUUCAGUAUUUUCGUAAUAGAAGCACGUACUUAACUCGAACAUGAGCGUUUCAUACGUAAACAGCCCAAAACAUGCCCUAAAUUAAGUGAUUAAAAUUUGACGAUGAUGUUGAAAUUGGAAGUGAACUCCAAAAGUGUGCAUGCGUAUGCAGGUUGCAGCAGGAUGUUUCUAUGCAGGUUGUAUGCAUUGCAUCUUGUCAUUCACAUACUCUUGCAUUCGCAUUCGGCAUUCCUUGCGGUUUCUGCAUUACUUGCGGCUUUCGAACCAAACUGAGGGAGCAGUACAUGUUGGAGGAAAAACCUUGCAACGAUUGCUACGUUCAUUUCUUCUGCCACUCCUGUGCCUUGUGCCAAGAAUAUCGUGAGCUCGAGAACCGUGGUUUCAAUGUUGCCAUUGGUACGCACAUUCGUUGUUCCCUCCCUCCAAUAAAAUUACUUAGAUUCACCGUCUCGGUGCACCUCCUUAUCCACCCUAGCUAGAAUGUUAGAUCAACCAAUACGCGUUAUACACGUGUAAUUAUCUUUAAAAAGUAUUAAUUCAAGAUCAUUCCUAAUUAACUAGUUAAUUUCAAUGAAUGUUAGGCUGGGAACGAAAUGCGUCAAAGAAUCCUGGAGUGGUGACAGCACCAGCUGUGCAGGGUGACAUGAAUCGUCAGACUGAUCACAAAUAGUAAUGGUUUUGGCUUGAUGCUUCAUACCAUCCGGUAUAAAAGAAUACGCUUUCGAUUUUUGUUUGCCGUCUCUUGAAUAAACUUCAUUUGGCUUUGGAGAGUCAUCUUAGUUUGUUGAGUUUGGGUGUGAAUAAUUUGAAGACUUUAUGUAUUCAUUUGCUAAUUUGUGGGUUUGUCUCGCCAUGGUAUUCAAUCGAGUUGACCUUUUAUGUUUUGUUGAAGUAUCUUUAGAUUAUGGACUCUCUUUUAUCAAAUAUUAUUUUUAAUGUUUGUAUGUGCGUGUAUCUUAAAGUGGUGGGUUCUAUUGUUUCUAAUCGGUUAUUAUAUUGAUGUUCGAUGGCUUUGUGGAAAACCAAGGAGAAGUCAUUAUCGAAGUUACGAAUUUGGGUGUUUGUAAAUGAACAAAUUUUAGUUUUUUAUACAAUUUGGACAUAAAAGGUACAAAUCAUUAUCGGAGUUACCAAUUUUUCUUAUGUAAUAUAUAGAUGUAAAUAACACUCCUUGAGUAUGUCAUUCCAAUGUGACACGCCCGACCCUGACAUUCCUCGAACACCAAGGUAGGCACGUACUAGCCGACAUCCGAUUCGACGGCCGAAAAUUAAGAAUGUGUGUGAGAAGUAAAAUGGAAUGUGUGGAUAUCACACCCCUCAAUAAUUUUGCACGAAAAGUCAAACAUGCAUAGUGCAGUCCAGUGCAGAUUCCAAUAACAUCGAUCGCAUAUGCAUCUAUAUAUAUAUGUAUGCAUGUGUGUAUGUAUAUGCCCCAACCGUUUGCAGAAAAAGAUGUCGGGUGGAUGGAGCACUGGCCUGCUUGACUGCUUCAGUGAUUGCAGUGUCUGUAAGCGCAGCUUCUAUUCUCUUCCCUUCCCGUCUAGCUAGCUAAAUCAAUUAUACCAUGUUUACUUGUUUGGUAUAUGAAUGUAUACCGAUUGAUGAUUUGAUCAUACAAACCCUAAACCUAUAUAUAACGUAAUUUGGACUGCAGGCUGCUUGGGAUUUUGGUGUCCUUGCGUUGUUGCUGGGCGUGUUGCAGAGAUUGUCUCAAAAGGAGAAACCAGUAAUGUUUCUUUUAAAAGAACCCAGUAACUCGAUAUCUAAACUUGGAUAAUUAUAAAAUUUUCAAUAUUUUCAUAAUAGAAGCACGUACUUAUAACUCUUAACAUGAGCGCUUCAUACGGAAACAGCCCAAGACGUGCCCUAAAUUAAGUGAUUGUUGAAAUUGGAAGUGAACAAAAUGUGCAUGCGUAUGCAGGUUGUUUUUGGCAUGGAUGUUCAUAUGCAGCAAUUAAUUUCGUUACUAACUUCGCAUUCGGCAUUUCUUGCGGUUUCUGCAUUACUCGCGGCUUUCGAACCGAACUGAGGGAGCAGUACACGUUGGAGGAAAAACCUUGCAACGAUUGCUGCGUUCAUUUCUUCUGCAACCCCUGUGCCCUGUGCCAAGAAUACCGUGAGCUCCAGGAACGUGGUUUCGAUGUUGCCAGUGGUACGUGCAUGCGCUGUUCCCUCCCUCCAAUAUAAUUACUUAGAUAGAACGUCUCGUUGCACCUCCUUAUCCAUUCUAGUUAGAUCAACCGAUAUGUGUUAUACACGUGUAAUUAUCUUUAAAAAGUAUUAUUUGAAGAUCAUUCCUAAUUAAUUAAUUAAUUUCAAUGAAUGUUAGGGUGGCUAGGAGAUGCGUCCCAGAAUCGUGGAGUGGUGACAGCACCAGCUAUGCAGGGUGGCAUGAAUCGUCAGUCUGAUCACAAAUAAUAAUGCUGUUGGCUUGAUGGUGGCAUGGAAAUCAUACCAUCUGGAAUAAAAGAAUUCGUUUUCGUUUUUUGUUUGCUGUCUCUUUGAAUAAAAGAGUUCGUUCUCGUCUGAAUUUUUCAUCAAGAGUAAGGUUCUUUUGAGUUUGAGAAGUCAAGGGUUGUCUCUGUCUGUUGAGUUUCGGUACGAAUGUUUUGAAGACUUUUUGUGUUCAUUUGUUUAUUGUGGGCUUGUUUUGUCAUCGUAUUCAACCAAGUUGGUCUUUUAUGUUUCAUUGAAGUCUCUUUAGAUUGUGGACCUUCGUUUAUUAAAAUAUUAUUUUUAAUGUUUGUAUAAGUUCUUAAUAUUAUAAUAAAGUCACUAUUGUGUCGCUAAUUUUUUUAUUUCUUUCUAUUUGAGUUCGGUUAUUAUAUUGAUGUUCGAUGGCUUUGUGGAUUUGAGUGUCUAUAAAAGAACAAAUUUUUAGUUUUUUUUUUUAAAUACAGUUUGGACAUAAAAGGAACAAAAUCAUCAUCGGAGUUACCAAUUUGGGUGUCUAUGUAAUAAAUGGAUGUAAAUAACACUUCUUGAGUUUGGCAUUCCAAUGUUCCCAAUUUUGUUAACUUGAACAAAGUUUUAAGACUUUUUGCCACAUAUUAUCAAGAUUUUCUACUUCUUGAACAAAAUUCAAAAUCCCGCAGCAAUACACGAAUACGCCUACUAGUAAUUUUUAAAAGCACUUUCCACCUCUUGCAGAUCCAUCUUUUUUUAAUUAUUAGUUUGAAUAAAUUUAAUAAAAAAUAAAAUAAAAAAAGCUAUGCAAAAAGUGAAAAUAGAUGUUCAAAAACCAAUCCACGAAAAAAAUUGAUCAUAUAAAAGGGCCCUUUUCACAGGCUUUUCCAUGGGCCUUAAAAAACUUUAGCCCAGCCCUGUAAGGAAGGAAGCAUACAGGAAGACUCGCAGACGGAGGAGACUUGAAGUCAAGUCAACGCGGCGUUCGACCGUUCUUCGGUUGUAGAAUAAAUCAAAGCUUGUCCAAGUCUUCUCUCUCAAUCUGUCUGAGAUCAUAUUAUCUCAACCUCCUCAUUGUUCCCCACCUAUCUUCGGCCAUCAUGUACUCGUCACACCCAAGGGGAUACGAGAAGUACUCCUCGUCCGACCCCCAGCACCACCACCAUCACCACCAAGAUGCUCCGCUGGCGCCGACAGGUAUCCCGGUCAGCUCCAGCACCGAACCUUAUUUUACUACUUCUAACGAAGACAUGAGCUCCCACAGUGGCCACUCCCACAUGACCCACCCCCCAUCCCGUCCCCGCCCUCGUGCUCUCAUCCCUUGGUCCACCGGCCUCUGCGACUGCUUCUCCGAUUUCAGAAACUGUAAGUAUAUAUAUAAAUAUAUAUGUGUGUAUCCUACUACUAUAUAUAAAUAUAUAUAUAUGUGUGUGUGUGUGUGAUUAAUCUGUUAAAGUGAUUUAUAAUGGGGUUUGAUUUGGAUGAAAUAUUGGAUCAUUUACUCGUGAAUUAAUGAUUCAUGUUAUUGUAUAUGUCUACAUGCAGGUUGCAUAACACUUUGGUGUCCAUGCAUCACCUUUGGCCAAAUUGCAGAGAUUGUGGAUAAGGGUUCAACAUGUAAUUAACUAAUUAAGCUUCUUCCUUUCCUUUUCCUUCUUUCUAAAUGGGAUUAAGGUGUAUUAUUAACUGAUUAAUGAGGGUUAACUAAUUAGUUAACGAAAUGAUAUGCAGCUUGUGGUGCCAGUGGAGCGCUGUACACACUGAUUACUUGUGUGACAGCUUGUCCAUGCUGCUAUUCCUGCUUCUACCGCUCCAAAAUGAGACAGCAAUACAGCUUGGAAGAGAGCCCUUGUGGGGACUGCUUGGUUCAUUGCUUCUGUGAGCACUGCGCCUUGUGUCAAGAGUACCGCGAGCUUCGGUUUCGCGGUUUUGACUUGAAACUUGGUAAUUGCUUCUUUAUUUAUAUUUUUUUUAAUUCAAAGAUGCAGUCAAAGGAUGUGUCACUGAUAUGAUUAAUACUAAUUAAUAUUAGGAUAUACAACCAGUUACACAUAAAAAUUUCUGAUCAUAAUAUAAGUCUGACACGUCUCAAUAUGAUUAAUAUAUAGGACAAACCUCUCCUUAGAUUUUUUAUCUUAUUUCUUUGAUUUUUGUCCCUUUGGAUAUGCACGAAUAUCAUUAAAUUUUCUAAUGUUUUGUUUUAGCCACAAACUGAGCUUUCCAAUUGAAUAAAUGUUAGAUGGAAUUCUAUAUUUUAGGUUAAUGUUUUUUGUUCUGUUUGCAUUGACUCGGUUGGAUUAAUGUUGAAUAACAAAAUAAUUAGGAUGGCAUGGAAAUAUCGAGGAAAGGAACCGUGAAGGAGUUGCAAUGAAUCCGGUGCCUCCGGUGGUGGAGGAAGGCAUGAGUCGAGAUAAAUGAAACUCAGAAACCCCACUUAUAUUAUAUUAUGUAUUGUACUAAGUGUUUAUUCAAAGUUUGUUGCCACGAUGAAAUAUUGUACUUAGUGUUUAUACAUUCAAACAAUACAUGAAAUGUUGAACUAUUGAUGUAAUGAGCAUUGUAUAAUAGAAAAUAAUUAAUAAAUUUAAAUUUCAAGAGGAAAAAUAGAAAAAAUGAAGAACAAAUAUGUUCAUUCGUAGAUCGUGUUGAUGCAAAGGCACAUAAAGUUGCUUCGUUUUUUUUUAACCAAAUUUGAGUUGAUUAGUUUUAAAAACUGAACUCAAAAUUAAGACAUAGGCAAUUUGUUAAAAACACCAAAAUGAGUUUUUGAUUUCUUUUAACUUAACAAACCUCUAUUGAUCUCUAAUUUAUUCCGCUCUCCGAAUCUUCUCUCUCCUCAUCAAUGAAUCUUCUCUCUCCUCAUCAAUUUCUACUAAUCUCUCUCUUCUAAUUUCUGUUGCUCUUCUCUCUCCCCUCCAAUUUCGUGCUCACAAGUUAUGAAUUCAAUUAUAUAUAUAAAAAAAAAAUCAACUAUUUAAUCAAGCAAGUUUUUAAAAAUUUGAGAUUUAAAAAAGAAAAAUGUUCUAAAAGAUAUUUGAUAAAUAGGUUUAAAAAUAAUUAAAGUUUUAAAAUAGAAUACGAAAGACGUCCCUACAAACUUAAGUGAAAUUCAUGCAACCAUUAAUGAGAUACACGCAUUCAUUUUGAAUUAUACGAGUCAAGUCAACGCUAAAAAAAUCUAAAGAAAUUUAUGAGAUGGACCCACUCACUGACCCAAUCAUCGUUUCCUCCUUUUUUUUUCCCGCAAUUGCCGUGUCUUUGUUGAAAAGGUUGAGGCCCUUCAUAUACCUUUGGAGUGAAAAAUACUUCUGUGCUUUCGAAAUACUCGAUCACUAAUAACCAUUGAAAUAUAUGGUACACGAAAGCGACACAGGUGAGUAGGUAGAAAAUAAGGGGCGCGAGACAACCCUUUCUAAAGAACUCAGCAAAAUAGCUCCGUAAUUUUGGGAGAAGAGGUGUCCCCCUUAAAAAGAGGGUUGUAAUGACAAGGCCCAGACGACUCUUUAUCAAAAACACAAGUUUCCGCAAAGUCAUAAGGCCAUGUAUGGGGCUAAUGCCUACCUAGCCCCGAAAGGUCAAGGAAGUUGGUGACCUGAUGACAGGAGAGCCGGGGCAUUGAGCUAACAGCCCGUCGUGCGGCCUCCCUUUAUGCCAAAAGCAAGAGAAACCCCAUCCCUCUCUUUCCUUUUUUACACCCCCAAGUCGCCACACAUGAGGGACAUGGAGACGUUAAAAAGGGGAUCCUAUCAACUUAGUCCGAUCUAAGAUAAUAAGUUCAUGAGCUUAGUCUUUGUAAUUGAGGAAUUCGACUUUGAAUGCAGAGCACAUUUAAUUUUGAAUACAUAUAAUAUUCGUUCUAUUCAAUGUAAUUACGCUCACGUUUGCAUAUACAAGUACAUUUGUAAAUACUCUCUCAAUAAUACUCUCGACAACAAGAGAAAAAUGUUUAAAAAUGAACUCGAGUAUAUAGAGUAAACGUCCUUAAUCAAUUCCUUGUGGACAAUUUUACCUCAAAAAGCUCAAACAAAAGGUUAUUUGGCAUUAGGCAAUACCGUUUGUUUUGGCCUGCAGCUUUCUACAAAUCGAAGUACGGAAAAGCUGUCUCCUCCUGCGCCCGGCCUAGCCCUACGCCCUCGCCCAUACGCAAACAAGGCAUCAAAAGACAAACAAAAGCAAAUAUAUAACCCAAAUAACAUUGCAAUCGAGACCUCUGUUCCCUCCUCCUUCUCUCCUUUUUUUUUUCAUCCUUUUCUUUCGUUGGGUACUUUUUAUGGAAUGCUGCUUUUUGACUGAUGCGAGUGAGUGAAGUUAUCAUCGGCCAAGAGAGAAAUGGAGGGAGCAGAGCUGGAGCUGGAGAGGCGGAGCAAGUUUCUCAGCAGUUUGAUACAGAAGAAGAAAGCUGUGGAGGAACAAGAUCACUGUGACCGCCUCAAUGUUCGAGUCAGGGCAUCGGAUAUGCCCAUCCCUCUGCAAAACCGCGCCUUUCGCGCUGCGCGGGAUCACCUCGACGCCAUGCCCGGGAAGCUCGACAGCAAACGCCUCGCUCUCGCACUUAAAAAGGUCAAAUCUUUUGCCUUAAUCAGAUAUUCUCUUACUGGGUUUUGAUCCUUUUGGUUUGUAGUCGCAUGCGUGCAAUGUUGAUUGAGUUGUUGUUGAAGUGUUUUGAGUAGUGGGUAUUCUGAAGUUAUAUUUUCACCCUAGGGUCAAAAACCAAAGGAAAGAAGAGAAAUGUGGCAAUCGUUUGGGAUUGCUUUUGUGGGAAGCGCUUUUGGUAUAAGUGGUUUUGAUUUGAAACACAUUGAAAUGUUUAUUGAAAAUUCAAGCGCUUCUGGAAAGAGAAAAAAAAAACACUUGGAAGUGCUCCAUGACAUGAGGAAGCAACUAACAAGUGUUUCUCCAGAAGGUUCUUUUAUGUCCCAAAAACACUUUGAGCUAUUUUAUCAAAUGCAAUCAAAAGCACUUUUGAUUGUCCAAAAAACGCCUUAUAACUAUUUGAAGCAAUCCCAAAUAGACCCGAAAGGGACUUGCUUUGAGUUUCUUUGAUUGAUUAUCAAAACAAGCAGGCAUUUUUGUGUCCUAGACUCAAAUUCAGUAUUGUAAGUCUCAGCAGUCAGGUUCUGCUUCAUUGACACCUCAAUUAUUUUUCUCUGUUCUUCUGCAAGAACAAUUUCUUGCAUGAAAGAGACGGGUUUCUGACAAACACAUGCUCUUGAUAAAUUCGAAGUUCACAGUCGAUUUUCAGUCGAAUAUUGGUAACUGAAUAUGCUGUGCAAGAAGCACCAUUGAACGUCACUGAUUGAGAAUCUGAGAGAUCACAAGACUAGUAUGUUGUGACACUAGAUUUUAUGUUUCUAUGCUAUAACUUGGGAUGCAGUGAGAUUGUAACGAUGUGUACUGAAAUAUACAAGGAAACAUUGAAAUUGUGGGAACUAGUUUGAGUUCAUAUAGAGAGUUGACAAUGUUUUUGUAUCACUUGACAGGAUUUCGAUUCAUCAUACGGUCCAGCUUGGCACUGCAUUGUGGGAACUAGCUUUGGUUCAUACGUGACGCAUUCAACUGGGGGCUUCUUGUAUUUUUCUAUCGACAAGGUUUACGUUCUUCUUUUCAAAACAGCCGUUGAGCCUUUGGACCAUUGACAAUGUCCGCCAAUUUUAGACGUGUCCUUGCUUGUACGUGUGACAUUUUCCAUUGUCAGCUAGCAUGUAAAAUCGCAAGACUCGCAAUAAUUAUCAACGUUCGUGUUCCCUCUUGUUCAUGCUGCGUUUCACGCUUCUGUACUAAAAGCACAAACGAGUUAUAUUUUCUUCUGAUGAGUUGCAAACACUCGUGUUCCGUUGCAUAAAACAUUUGUUGCAGUGAAAACGUUGUAAAUUCAUGUCAUGUUAUCUGGAGUAGCACAGAAUGCUGUUAAAAUUUUAAUUACAUUAGCAUUUGACAGUGUUCAUUUGCGUGGAGAGAUAUUUUCUUUCUACCGACUUAUUACAACUUGACAAAAACUGCUCAUAUCAGUCGUAAUCUCAAAACCCAAUUUGUAAUCUCCUUCUCUCUCUCCAAGAAAUUUGAUACGUUCUGCUUCAUUUCUGGACAAUUCACUACCGUCGCUUAAACCCGAGAAACAUGGAGAUUUCAGAGUCUACGGUGGAACACCAAGAACAUGAAGCUACUGACAGUUCGGGAGAUGAACAAGCAGGGCCACCGCACGAGGCGUUGUUCCUUGUUUCAGCUUACCUUCCUCUGUUCGAGCUUCUUGCUGUUAGCGGAGUUUGUAGGACACUGAGAGAUGCAGUAAACACAGAUGUCUUACCAUGGCUAAAAAUCAUCGUCAAAGCGCCGUUGAACUUGAGGCUUUCCGAUGAGGUUCUGAUGAAAAUCACAUCCAAGGCUAAUGGUAGGUUGAGAUCUCUGGCUUUGAUGAACUGUGCCAAUAUUACAGAUGAGGGGCUUCAAGGGGUCGUUGAGCAGAAUCCUCUUAUCAACAAGGUAUGGAUGUAAUCUUAUAUGAAUUGUUCUCGCCGGAUAGGUAAUUUCGAUUGGUUUUCUUGGCGGAUAAGAUACGAAUGGUCGGAAUUGCCUUGCUCAAGAACACGAUUUUAACCAUCUUAUCCUGUAUUUUGUUUCGUUUUGAAUCUUUGAUUCAGCUCUACGUACCGGGAUGCACCGGUUUAACACCCGACGGAGUCAUUCGAGCUGCCAAAACAUUAUCCGAAAAUCAUCACGGCUUAAAGAGCGUCAUGAUAUACGGCAUCUACAACAUGAACAAACAAUACCUCGAAACGCUUGAGUCGUAUCUCCAGAUAAACCGGUCACAGCAAAAGCAGACAGGAGGAUCACGGCCUCUUCUGUUUCACGAGUACAAGGACUGCCCAACCUCCAGACACGACAACGGUCACGCUGCAAUCGACGUCCAAGUUUGCCCAAAAUGCGACGAGGUUAGGAUGGUUUUCGACUGUCCAAGGAGGACGUGCAGGACAAAGAUAGACAGGCCAAUGACUGAUUGCAGAGGAUGCAACUUUUGCAUUCCGAGGUGCCAAGAGUGCGGCGGGUGCAUCGACAAUUGUGAAGAAAUGGAAGAGGCUGUUUGUGCAGACAUCUUGUGUUCGGAUUGCUGGCUGCAACUUCCCAAAUGUGACUUCUGCAACAAGCCAUACUGUAAGCAACACGCUGGCAACGGAUACCGUCCUCCUGGUUCCACCGGGUUCGUUUGUGAUGUUUGUUAUGCAAAGUUCAUUGUAGAUUUGCACAGCGUUGUUGAAUAAUUUGGUUGUGCCAUGUUUAUUGAACAAUUGGAUGACUUCUGUUCGUCAUUUAAGUUAAUACUGGCAAAAUCUUACGAAAGAAAAGCCGGAUGGAUAUGAAGAAAAACAGGCAGAUUUACAUUAAGAGUCUUGAAUUCAUCACUCUGAAUAUAAAUGGACGGAUUAAAGUCCGGAACAAAAGAAUAAAACUGUCAGCAAAAACCAGAUUUACGCAAACAAGAUAGGUACACCAAAAUAAUCCUAAAUGAUCCCCCUUCCAAUUUGUUUCUGCAAAUUCCAAUGAACACAAGUACUCACAUUUCAACCACUAGUUGCUUCUGCCUAUAUGUUCAAAUCAAAGCUUGCCACCCCCUAAUUCCUCCUGGGAGGGUACAAAAUUGGGUCUUGCUGCAAGUUUCCCAACCGGUGCCAAACUGAGCCUCUAAAAAAUAUUCGUCUAUCAAAAGAGUUUUGCAGGAAAUACAAAUUCACUGCGUUCUACAAGAGAACUGCACUCAGAACUAAGAAACCGAUGAUCACAGAGCUUGUGAAGGAACCACCACUGUAGAAAAAUAGUGAAGGGCACCCAGAAGCUGUGGAAUUUGAAGAAGGAGCCAGUGAUGUGCCAUUGAUGAAAGUGCUAUUUCUCCCGCCACUACAUUCACCAAAAAGGAACAAAAGGUUAGAUUAUUUCUGGUAGUCUCUUGGAAGUUAAAAUAUAUUCGUAAUAAGAUGAGAGAGUUUAAACUUGUACCUUCCUGGAAAUAUACAAGUGCCGUGACCUGCAAGAAUUGGCAAUGAAAUAUAUCAGUAACAAAGCAAGAUUUUCACCAACAAAAGUGCAGGAUAUAACACAAUGCCAGUGCCAUAAACAGAAAAAUUUCCACUUGAUGCAGUCUUCACUACUAAAGUUUUAUCAAAGCACCUAAGCUAGUCUGUAAUAAUUGAAAAUAUGAUGCAAAUAAACAUGUCAUGAUACCAUACUUGGAUCUGUGGUAGUAACGGUAGCCACCCCUUUGAAAUCACAAGUUCCAGGUGACUUGGCCAUCAGCUGAAAAUAUGCAUUGAAAGCAUAUGUUGCGUGUGUGAGCACAUUAUUUGGUUCAUAACAUGGUUGACCCUGCAGCAAAGGCGAGCAAUCAACUUUCCCUGGUCCACAAGCCCAAUCCAAGGCUGCUUGUAGCAUCUUUUUAUCGGCACCUUCCCUCGCAACACAAAAGGUUUGGUUUGUUGUGUCAUUUGCCAACACAGUUCCAGCACCUGUUAAGUGCAAGGUAUAAACUGGCACUCCAUCAGCAUUAAAAAGUCCCCAAUUCUUUUCAGAGACAGACCCAGGUCUCAAAUCCUCAUUGUAAAGCUCAUAAAUAUAAGUGCUAACAGCAAUCCCAGGAUGCUUGGGAGUCCCCGUGUUGUUAAGCACGUGCCUAAUUAGGUUACUGUUGUAAGUGUUGGCAUUGUCAAGUGUGGCAUCUGGCUCCGCUGAGCCACCCUUUGAAGGCCAGCCUGACUCGGUCACUACAAUAGGGAUAUUAGUGAUGUUUAGAUAGGACAUUGCAAAAUAGGCUGCAUCAACAAUAGCCUCGAAGACAUUAGUAUAAUGCAGCAGUGUAUUAGCAUCCACGGCUUCCUUGUUUGGAGGGAGAGGGCGGAAAAGUGCAUAGUCCAAGGGGAUUACACCGUUUGAUUGCACGUAAUCAUAAUACGGAUAGACAUUGAGCAUGAGAUAUGAAUCUGUAGACUGCAAGAACUUGAGCAGGGGAACCAUGACUGGGUCCCAUGAGCGAUUGAAGAAGGCUUGAGAUGGUGGAAAGGAGUCGAGAAUAAUGGAGGAAGAGUGUGGAGUAGAGACUCUAAUUUGGCGGUCAAGGUUAGACGCAACAAGUGCAGAGUGAAUGAACUUCAGGGCAGAAACUAGGACUGGAGCAGCAUUUGGGAGGGCACUAAGGACUUCCGAUCCAACAGCUAUAGCAGUGAUGUUGGUGGCAGGGACAUGGGCUAUCACAUUGCGAGCAACCCAGUUAGCAGCAGUGGCAUUGGACUGGCCAAUCCCAAUGAGCUGGUCAUUAGGAACCGAAACCAUCACUUGGAUGCCAGUGUUUGCAAGAGCGAGGAGCAUGGUUCUGUCUGCAUCAUAGAGUCUGAUAUGUCGAAUAUUUUGAGCUUUAAGAAGUGCCACCACCUGAGUUGGGCUCGGCAUGGCAGAAAGAUCUGUACCGAGGUUUACACCAACGAAGGCAUCUGCAAAACAUUAACAAAGAAUGCAGGAUUAGACAACAAAAUUGUCCUGUGAAACGGAAUCUCUUGUAUUCCGAAAACACUUCAUCAUGCAUGUAGAACGGGUAGUACAACUCAUAAAUGUGACAUGUUUCGAAUUUAUGGAUAUCCAGAAAAACCAUCUUGACAUUGUCAGCUUGAUUUACUUUUUAAGGAACAACUCUAAUUAGUUUGUACUGAUCCAAUUAGACCCUCAUGACCAAACACGAAACAUGCCGGAGGCAAUCCUCUAAUCUCCUGUCUAGAGACCAGAUAAUGGGCCCAAGCUACCGCUCCACCAUGUUCUCUUUCUUCAUAGACAAGCAUCGUGAAUCCAUGAUACAACUAAACAGCUGUGACGGGAAUUCAAUAAAGGUGGCACGGGAGAAACAUCCCAACAAUCUUAAGAAUCAUACGAAUCUCAGCUAUGCUAAUAUUGUCGUCGGACACAUAUUACAUACGGCAUGUGGUUGGAAGGUGUAGGAAACAAUCAGGGAAAAGUGACAGCUUACCUCCCAGUAUAGAAACAAUCAGCCUAAAUGGUAAAUAGCUCCGACUAACUUGCAUAACAAGUUGGAUCUCUCAACCAACAAAAACGCGGCAUUCUUGUUGGAUCUCUCAAUCAGCUAAAUGCACCCACUCUCUCUCUCUCUCUCUCCCCCUUUUGAAAGACUGCAUCUUUCAAGAAGAACCUGUCUUUCUUUUUUGGUCAAAGACUCAAAGUGCGGCAACAAUUGAAACUUCAAAUCAAAUCAAAUGACCUGUAAACUAUUGGAACUUAACUUUUGUUGACCAAAGUCAAACAGUGAAGACCACGCUAGACUACUGCAAAUUUAAAUUUUAUUGACCAGAACAGUUGCAAAGAAUGUUGUCUAAACCUAUAUUAUACAAAUCAGUCACAAUAAACUCACUGACUUUGCAGAUUUAUUAGAAAAAACUACCAUUCAUUUGAACAUGUUUAAAAAAGACCCAGAAAAAAGGAGGCAAAAACCCACAUCGGAAACGCAUCAAAACACCAAAAGAAUGCAACUUUAAGAAGAAGGGAAGGGUCUUUGGCACAUAGGAACUCGUAGAACACAAUGCAGACAUCCAAAAAUUAGAUUUUAAUCAUAAAAAAAGGGAUUAUUGAGAAAUGAAAGCUUAAGAUUUUAGAGAGUUGCUUAAACAUACAAGGAAUACACACACACACACAAGUACAGAGAGGCAUAAAAGCUUACCUUCACCAGCAGAAACUGCGGAGACAGCCAACAGGAAGAAGAACAGCAGAGUAGCCAUGGAAUCCUUCCUCUCUGCCCUCCAAAACCAUACAAAUGAAACCCCCCCACAGAAGAAAGAGCCCAGAAAAAAAUUCUAAUUUAAAUAAAUCCCCAAGAAACCAAAAGAGCAAGAAUAAAAGAAGGGAAUAGAGGGCCGAAAAAAAGAGAAAAGGAGCUCCUUUUGAGGUUUGUGGAAGCUGAUGAGACAGAGAAAGGAGAGAGAAGGGGGUGAAAUUGUAAAUGCAGAAGCCAGAGGAUCGCAGAGUGUGUGGGUGUGUCAGAGAUCGGACGGCUAAUAUUUACAUGCAGGUGCAUAGUAACUAUUAAAUGCAGAAAAGCCUAGGCUACCACGGAUGUUGGGCCUCUCGAAUCAGAGGGCUUAGGUAGGUUUAACGUUUCGUCUGAGUUUGCGGUCCACGGGUAGACCACUUGUGCUGACGUGGCUUGGUACAGCUGGAUGCAACGGUCUUAUUCCGAAAAGUGUUUCAGUUCUUUUUUUAUUUCAUAUUUUUUGUCUUUUUUUGUGCGAAUAUUUAUGUAUUAUUCAGAAAAAUGGUAGCCCCACGAGACACGAUGGAUCUUAGACUGUCAUUUUUAUGCAAAGAGGCUUUCUUUCCGAUAGAACUAAACAAGGAUCCUCUCCGGAUCUCAUCUACUUGAGCCAAUUGAGUAAAAAAUUCGGAUCUUGAAAUUUGAUCUAACGAUUAAAGUUAUUAUAACUUUUAAUAGAACUAUUUAUUUUUAGCCGUUGAAUCAAAUUUCAAAAGUCCAAAUAUUUUGCGCAGUUGGCUAGAGUGGAAGGGAUCCGGCGAGAUCAUUUUCCCUAAACAAGCGAGCACAUCAAAAGAAGAUUUUUCGGUGUGCUAUAAUGCAUUAUGUUGCAUCAAGUGGCUAAUGUAAGUGGUUAGAUAUUUGAAGAAAAUAAUAUUUUUGAUUACUUAUAUUAUGACACUUAGUAUACUAACACGUAUUCACGUCACGUCAUACUAAAAGUUUCUUACAACAAAUUACGUUGAACAACAUUAUGAAAAAUCUUAACAAAAAAUAAACGGGACAGAAUGCAACAUGAAAUAUAUAGUUUCGUUCUACUAUUACAAUUUUUUGCAGAUGUCUGAAAAUCUGAAUGCCCUGAGAGCAACUCAAGACGACAUAUAUCAAACAUAAUAUGAUUCAGUAGCGUUUUAAGAUUUAUAGAGUCGACCUGGUUACAUAGUUGUUAUUCGUAUAGAAAAUAGAGGGAAUUAGCUCAGCGCGUAUAUGUUAUUCGGGGCCCCGUAUCCUCUGGCAAAAAUAAUACCCACUAUAAGAGCAACUCCACCCUUGGAGCCAUCCCCCUGGCAAUCCACUAUUGAAUCCACCAUAUUGAACAGUAACUGCCUUUAAUGAAUAGUAACUACCAUUAAUGAACAGUAAUUACCUUUUGCAUCUCUACCCUUUGAACUCUCCCCCUGGCAAUAGGUAAUAAAAUAAAUUUUUUUUUUGUUUGUUUAAAUAAUAUAAAAUAUAAAAAAAACAGGGAAAUUGGGCUGUAGGGCCUCGGGCUGACACAAAAAACAAUAAAAAAAUGCCUUGGCCCUCGGGCUGCAAGCCGGUAAACUAUCCGCCCCCUUGUGCUCGGGCUCCCACUCUCACUCGGGCCCUCCAUGGCUGGAGAAGGAUCAACGGGCCCUCGGGCCCCUUCCUGCAGCCCGUCCCCCGUCCAAAAACGAAGGCUGGAGUUGCUCUAACUAUUCGCCCAGCACAAAACCGAUGUGCCUCCGCCUACUUGAAAAAACAGAAUCCUCCACCACCGCCUCAUUCUCUGCACUCUUCCGUUCUCUCCGCCGGAGCUCCGAUUGGACAUGAACUGAAAGAAUGGACCAAAACCAGAGACCAUCCUCCUCGGCGUCAGCUGCCUCGCGAGCUUACCAGUUUCACCCCGCACGCGCAGCAAUUGUCAAUCUCUUCGACCUCUACUUAGGAGUGAGUACAAUUUGCACUCGCUCUGUAUUUUUUUUGUUCGAACUUUUUAUUCAAUAAAUCUGAAAUUAAGAAAUUUUCAUGCUUUUUCGCAGAGAAGUAGCCGCCAAAAAUCCGAUGAUUCAAUUCGAGAACCUCCGUAAGUGUGUUUGUUUGCUGCGUAAUUAGUUCGAAUUGUAUGAAUUAAUUUGAAUUAGGCUGCGUAAUUAGUUCGAAUUGUAUGAAUUAUAUGAACUAAUUUAAAUGAAUGUUCGUUUUUUGGUUAGAGAUUAUAAUUUUGGGUUCUGAGUGCUCAAACUGUACAGUUGAUAUGAUAAUACUCAUCAAAGAAAAAAUUUUGAGUUGGAAAAAAACCACUUUGAAGAAGUUAAUGUUGUCGAUUCUUCAGGAACAAGUCACAGAAGCGUGUACUUGCUCUUAAUCGAGAGCUUCCACCUCGAAACGAGCAGUUCCUACUAGAUUUUGAACAACUGCAGAGCCAGCUUCCUGUGAGUUGCACAAUUCGAAACAAGCUGUUUUAUGUAUCAUUGUUGUUAGGAGUUUUAUUACUUUAAGGUAGUAGUUCUGAUGCUGUUGUUUCAUGUGUUUCAGGACCAAGAUCAACUGCGUGUCGUGACAGAGUCUGUACUUAUAUCUUUAGUCGUGCAAUGCAGCAAUCAUGCGCCGCAGGCGGAGUUUCUUCUCUUUGCUCUAAGGAGCUUGUGUACUAUAGGUCACAUUAACUGGGAUACUUUUUUGCCAUCCCUUCUUUCUUCAGUCUCUGCUGCAGAAAUGUCAGUUGGUCAAGGUAGUCAAGCAAUGCGUACUGUUUCAUCGCAGUCCGGUAUGCUUCCAUCUUCAAAUGCAAUCCCCAACUCGUUUAAUUUUCAAUCUUCAAGUCCUGCCUCUCCGUUACCUUCAGUGCAUGGCAUUGGUUCCCCCAGCCAGUCUGCUAUUGAACCAUCAUCUAUGUCACCAGUUAAAUCAUCUGACAUAGCCUCCAAUGGACAGCAGGCUAUGGCAAGGUUCAACUCAUCUAUAAGAGAUAAUGCCAUAAGCAGUCUUCGUCAGCUGUGCUGCAAGAUCAUUUUAACUGGACUCAAAUUUAAUUUAAAACCAGUGACUCAUGCUAACAUCUUUUCCCAUAUGCUUAAUUGGCUGGUUAAUUGGGACCAAAAACAACUUGGGGUUGAUGAAUCUGAUAGUGUAAGAUCCUGGAGACCUGGAAAGGCGCUAAUUGAAUGGCUACAUAGCUGGAUGUGAUUUGGCUUUUGGUUGACGAGGAAAAAUGCCGAGUGCCCUUCUAUGAAUUACUGCGAAGUGGGUUGCAAUUUAUGGAGAAUAUACCUGAUGAUGAAGCCUUAUUUACUCUAAUCUUGGAGAUCCAUAGGAGGCGAGAUAUGAUGGCCAUGCACAUGAAAAUGUUAGAUCAACACCUACAUUGCCCUACAUUUGGGACUCAUCGGAUUUUCACGCAGACAACUCCUAGUGUUUCAGGAGAAGCAGUAGCAACCUUGCGGUAUUCACCAAUCACAUAUCCAAGUGUUCUUGGAGAACCAUUGCAUGGAGAGGUGAUGAAUUUAUUUAAGAAUUCGUUAUUUGUCAUGGGAAUGUCAGUAUAUAUAUUGUUCAAUAGUUAGUAUCAUUAGAUUUAUGAUAAUGUACUGGUAAUAUCUGUAAAAAGAAAUGAUAUUCUCCACCAAGCAUAAUUUCUGUAUCUAUGCUACUUCUUUAGGGAUCUUUUUUCGGGGAUAUAAUCUAGAAUUCCUUUGCUUUUGCUGGUGUAGGACCUUGCAACUUCAAUUCCAAAAGGAAGUUUGGAUUGGGAGAGAGCUUUGCGUUGCAUAAGGCAUGCUCUUUGUACUACUCCAUCACCCGACUGGUGGAAACGGGUGCUGCUUGUAGCCCCCUGCUACAGGUCUCCUUCUCAAGGACCUACUCCUGGUGCUGUUUUCAUCUCUGAAAUGAUUUGCGAGGCAACAAUUGAUAGAAUUGUUGAGCUAUUGAAAUUGACCAAUUCAGGUAAUAUUAUCUUCAUUGUUAAUUAAUAAGAUUAGCCUUUUUUUAGCUGUAUGGCUCUCUUAUGGAUAUUGUAGACCUUCCUUUUUCUUCUUACCUUGUUUUCUUUUAGUACAAUUCUAUAUAAUUUUUUAUCCUAAUUUUUUUUUUACUUUUAUCCUACUUUUAUUUUGUGGUUCUGCCUGCAUGUAUAAUGAUUGAUAUUUUAGUUAGCUAAUGCUUAUAUCUUGUUCCUUGCAGAUAUUAAUUGCUGGCAACAGUGGCUUGUCUUUUCGGAUAUAUUCUUUUUUCUUAUUAAAAGUGGCUGUAUUGAUUUUGUUGAUUUUGUGGACAAGCUAGUUUCACGCCUUAACGAGGGUGAUCAACAAAUUCUUAGGACAAAUCAUGUCACUUGGCUUCUUGCUCAAAUUAUUCGGGUUGAACAUGUGAUGAAUGCUCUAAAUCAAGAUGCUAGAAAGGUUGUCCUUGAAAAGUAGAAUCCAUUGUCUUUCUAAUGAAGUCACAUAAUUUGUCUCACUUCUUGCAAUUUCUUUGUCUAUUUAGCUGCACUAACUAAAUGUCGGCAUUAUUUCACUUCGUCCCCAAAGAAUGACUUCUGUCAAUUUGAUUUGUGUUUCCUCUGUAAUUUGAUACAACUUGAUCAUGCCAUAUUUAUAGCCUGUAGCUUUACUGCUUGUAGGUGGAGACAACAAGAAAGAUCCUAUCGUUUCAUAAAGAAGAUAGGAGCUCAGAUCCAAAUAGUCCUCAAAGUAUACUGCUGGACUUCAUCAGCAGUUGCCAGAAUUUACGUAUUUGGUCAUUGAACACGACAACUAGAGAAUAUCUGAAUAAUGAGCAGCUUCAGAAAGGAAAGCAAAUAGAUGAAUGGUGGAGGACAGCGAGCAAAGGUAUAUUCCACUCCAGAAGUAUUACAAAUUGACAGUUUCUGGCAACGAAAUCAAGAACGAUUGUUAUAAAAUUGCCUUAUAUGACAGUAUUUCAUAAAACUUAGUAAAUUCUAUAAUAGGACAUUUUUCCUGGAAAUCUUGUGAACUUGUAUCUGUUGGUUUCUAUUUCAGGGGACCGAAUGAUGGAUUAUAUGAAUAUGGAUGAAAGGUCAAUUGGGAUGUUUUGGGUUGUGUCUUACACCAUGGCGCAGCCAGCUUGUGAAACUGUGAUCAAUUGGUUAUCCUCUGCUGGGGUUAUAGAGUCGUUACCAGGAACAAACUUACAGUCCAAUGAGAGGCUAAUGGUUAUGCGGGAAGUAUGUCCAUUGCCGAUGUCCUUGUUAUCUGGCUUUUCAAUGAACCUAUGUUUAAAGCUGGCGUAUCAAAUGGAAGAAUCUUUAUUUUCUGGGCAGGUAAUCUUUUAUUUUUCUUGCAAAUUGCUAUUUUCAGCUUGGAUUUGGAAGUAGUCCCAAAUUGGUUAAAUAUACUUGUUGGUAAUUGAAACUUUUGUUCAUUUACUGAUGUAUGCCUUCCAUAGAGGAUAGCCAGAGGCUGCAGGCUGUAAGAACUAAGAACUAAGAACAUGGAUUACAUGUACAUGGUAUAAUGAUGGGGAAGGGGAAAAAGAAAAUAAAGGAGUUGGCCCCUCUCUCUCUCUCUCUCUCGCACACACACAUACACUUAUCUUGCACCUUAUGGAGUUGUUCAUGAAUCGUUUUUGUUCACUUUGAUAGAAAUCAUGGUAUUUCUAAUUUUGAGAUUUGCGCAUAAUCAGAAGAAAUUUAUACUUCAAGCUAUGGCUUCUUGCCAUUGAUCUGAGAGUGGCUUCUUAGUAGAAAAUAUUUUAUUGUAUGUAGCAACCAACCUAUUAUUAACUCUUUUUGAACUGUCGUUUGACAUAUAUUUUUAUGUUUUAAAUGCAGGUUGUACCUAGUAUUGCAAUGGCUGAAACAUAUUGUAGGCUGCUACUCAUUGCACCUUACUCAUUAUUUCGUUCUCAUUUCAAUGUAAUUUUCUUUUAACUCUAAGGUUUUCAUUGCUUCUCUGAUUGAAUGUUUCUCAUGUUUCUCGCAAAUGAUCAUGCAUCUUAAUAAUUUACUCCCACUAGGGCACUUAACUUAAAGAUCAAAAGCUAUGAGGUUUGCCCUUUUCCUAAGCAGGCAAAAUUUGACCCCAAGUCUCUAGCAUAACUCCUUGAAAUGUUACUAUUAGGCUUGUUGCCACAUAUUAUUAGCAUUUUACUGAAUAAGCUAAAUCAUAUGGAGCGUAUUAAAGCUCCAUGUUGACUUUUUCCUUCUCUUGUGGGGGUAAGUUGAUAGUCUGUAUGGUUGGUCUUCCAGGUACGUCUUCAGCGUUCACCUUCACCUACACUUGUGUAACUAUGAUGUUGAUUUGCUUACUCCGUAUAAGUCUUUGCAGUCUUAACUUGUAGUUUAUACCCUUCCUCUUUUUUUUCCCUUGUCACAGUAAGCACCAUUUGUCGUUUGUUAAAAUUUAAUUUCCUUGUCCAUUUUUAAACAGUACUGUUGUAACCUUUUGUGUUUCAUUAACUUGUACUGUGAUAUUUAUUUAUUUAUUCUGUAUCUCAGCAUUUGGCGCAAAGGAAUCCCUCGGUAUUGAGCAAGCCAGGCGUAACUCUUUUAGUGCUUGAAAUAUUGAAUUACCGUUUGCUUCCACUUUACAGGUGAUUAUUUGUAUUAUCCAAAUGCCGAAAUUACACUUCCUUCAAGUUAAUUAUAAUUUUCAAAGAUAGGGUAGGACUCUCUUGGCUUCAGAUGCUGUAAAUAUUGACUUUAUAGGUACCAAGGAAAAAGCAAAGCCUUGAUGUAUGAUGUUACGAAAAUAGUUUCUGCUCUAAAAUCAAAACGUGGAGAUCACCGUGUAUUUAGGUUGGCUGAGAACUUGUGUAUGAAUCUUAUUCUGUCUCUGAGAGACUUUUUCUUGGUGAAAAGAGAAGGGAAGGUAUAUAGUGCAUUUUCCAAACAGCAACCCUUUUUUGUUUAAAUUUCAUAGACAAACUGAAAAUUAAUUGUAUGCAUUGUUAAACUUUGGCAGGGUCCAACUGAAUUCACAGAAACUUUGAAUCGAGUAACAGUUGUCACUCUUGCGAUCAUCAUUAAGACACGAGGAAUUGCUGAUGCUGAUCAUCUGCUUUAUCUUCAAACCAUGUUAGAGCAGAUAUUAGCCAAUAGUAAUCACACAUGGUCAGAGAAAACACUACGCUAUUUCCCUUCUCUUCUACGUGAUGUUUUGAUCCAACGGAUUGAUAAAAGGGGCCUGGCAAUUCAAGAAUGGCAGCAGGUUCGUUGUUGCUCCCUUAGUUUUUUGAUUUUGUAGUGUCUGUUUUGUUCAUCUGUAACAUCUUUUUUUCCCUGCUGUCAAAAUUCAGAUGCCAUGACUUUUUUUUCCCCUAUCAUAAAGAUGAUUUUGUUUUCCUACAGGAUUGAUUAGAAUCUUCUGUACUUAAAACUAUUAACUUCUACUGUCAGACUUGGUUGACUUGGUUUUGAACAUUGUCCAUCAUGAAUAUUUCUUAGAUAUACAUAAUGAUGAAAGAUCCUCUUUUGCAGGCCGAAACCACUGUGAUUAACCAAUGCACCCAGCUUUUGUCCCCUUCCGCUGAUCCUACAUAUGUAAUGACCUAUAUCAGUCACAGUUUUCCUCAACACCGACAAUAUCUAUGUGCUGGUGCAUGGAUCCUGAUGCAAGGGCACCCAGAAAACAUUAACAGCGUAAACUUAGUAAGUUUAAUGCAUUAUGAAUAAAACCAUGAUUAGUGUUUAUCCAUUGCUAUUAGAACCUCGACGUAUUGCCUAGGAAACUGUUGCUUAAUCUCUUCCUUGUAUGGUUUCAGGCACGUGUCUUGAGAGAGUUUUCUCCUGAGGAAGUAACAUCUAAUAUUUAUACAAUGGUGGAUGUUCUGCUUCAUCAUAUUCAGUUGGAACUUCAGCAUGGUCAUUCUUUGCAGGUCUGUCAAUUGUUCUUAGGCUUUUCAUUCACAAUCCUGUGUAUUGCAUGCCUGUGCAGUUGUUUUUACGGACAUUUCAUUCAUUUCUUUUUCAGGAUCUUUUAUUGAAAGCUUGUGCAAACCUAGCUUUUUAUAUUUGGACCCACGAGUUGCUCCCUUUGGAUAUUUUGCUCCUGGCACUUAUUGAUCGUGACGAUGACCCCCAUGCUUUGCAUAUCGUGGUACAUGCUUUCAACUUUUUAUUUUAUUUUUUAUUUAGAAUUUCUAAUCUUGUUUGCAUAUAUGAACUAAUUAAAAAGAACAAGGUUAAUGUGAGAAUUGCACUUUAUCUAUUAAACAAACUGAUCUGGAUAUGUACUACAAUUCAAGAUAUGUUCUUGAUGCAAUUAUGUACUAAUAUGUGAUGCAGAUUAGUCUACUUGAUCGGCAAGAACUUCAACAGAGGGUGAAACUAUAUUGUGUGAAUCGAGGUCCCCCUGAACACUGGCUUUUCUCUGGACCCUUUAAGCGAGUUGAAUUGCAAAAGGCCCUUGGGAAUCAUCUAUCCUGGAAGGACAGGUUGCAUCUGUUAUAUAUGAACUUUUUCUUCUUCUUUUUUUUUUUUUUGGGUUUGAUGUUGGGACUAUAUAGUAUGGUUUCUAAGCUAAGAUAAGAAUCAUGCAGAGAAGCUAAACUUUGUGAAUCGUUAGUGCAUAUCAUUAUUCACUUACAUGGUCUUUUAUGUGAUGCAGGUAUCCUACUUUCUUCGAUGACAUUGCAGGGCGUUUGCUCCCAGUCAUUCCGUUGAUAAUUUAUAGACUAAUUGAAAAUGAUGCCAUAGAUUCAGCUGAAGGAAUUCUGGUCAUGUAUUCUACAUUUCUUAAAUACCACCCUUUAAGAUUUACAUUUGUUCGUGACAUACUUGCAUAUUUUUAUGGCCAUCUUCCCGGAAAGCUCAUUGUCCGAAUAUUGAAUGGACUCGAAGUCAACAAGGUAAAGACUUUGCUCUCCUUUUUAUUUUUUUGGUAUUCAGCAUUGACUAUUGAGUACUAUUAUCCUCCAGUUACCUUAUUAACUCCAAGUUUGUUUCAGAUCCCAUUUUCUGAGUCAUUCCCAGUGCAUAUGAAUUUAUCAAAUUCCACCAUGUGCCCACCUGCCGAUUACUUUGCAACUCUCUUACUGGGACUAGUGAAUAAUGUCAUUCCUCCAUUGCAUAACAACUCAAAAUCUGGAGCGAAUGAUGCUUUAAAUAAUUCAAUGCGUGCCCCACCUAACAAGACUCCUCCAACGUCGCAGUCUGGGCAAGCAAAUGUUUCUGAUGGCCAAAAAGCAUUCUUUCAAAUUCAGGAUCCAGGCACAUAUACUCAGCUGGUUCUUGAAACAGCAGUCAUUGAACUGCUCUCUCUUCCUGUAUCUUCAUCCCAGAUUGUAUCAUCACUGGUUCAGAUUGUCAUCAAUAUACAACCAACAUUAAUUCAAUCCAGCAAUGGCCUGCAUGGAGCUCCAAAUGGUGUUGGGCAAGGCUCUGUUUUACCAACAUCCCCUUCGGGUGGAAGCACAGAUUCCUUGGGCACGACGAGCAGGUCAGCUGCUUCAGGGUCAGGAAUAAAUGCAUCUAACUUUGUUUCUCGAAGUGGUUAUACAUGCCAACAGUUGUCUUGCUUAUUGAUCCAAGCAUGUGGUCUUCUACUGGCUCAACUGCCUCCUGAUUUUCAUGUGCAACUCUAUCUAGAGGCAUCACGUAUAAUAAAAGAAACGUGGUGGCUCACUGAUGGCAAAAGGUCAAUGGGAGAAUUAGACUCUGCUGUCGGUUAUGCUUUGUUGGAUCCAACAUGGGCUGCUCAAGACAAUACCUCGACCGCCAUUGGUAUGCUACAAUAUAUGCAAUGGUUAUUUACUGGUAAACCUUGCUUAGCUUCCCGAUCCAAGGGUUUAUAGCAAACUCUAUGUUGUGAUUGCAGGUAAUAUUGUUGCCCUGCUCCAUUCGUUUUUCAGUAACCUCCCACAAGAGUGGCUAGAAGGGACCCAUCUUAUCAUCAAACAUCUCAGGCCGGUGACUUCAGUUGCAAUGUUGAGAAUAGCAUUCCGAAUAAUGGGUCCCUUGCUCCCUAAACUAGCCAAUGCGCACGCCCUCUUCAGUAAGGUACAGAAAUUCACUUAUUGGGAGCUUUUAUUAGAAUUUCGUCAAAGGUUUUAAUCAUUUUUUAUGCGUAUUUGAAUUCUUCCAAGUAAUAUGUAUAAACAAAGUUUCAAUUGUUUGUGGUUAAUCAUUUUGUAAACCGUUUCAGGCUCUGUCAUUGAUUUUAAGUAUGAUGGUAGAUGUCUUCGGGAAGAAUGUACAGCCUCCGAUCCCAGUCGAGCCAUUAGAAAUAGCAGAUAUAAUUGACUUCUUGUAAGUGCUUUUCUGUACUUGAAACAAACAAAUUUUCCGUUUGUGGUUUGAUAUAGCUGUUGUUUAGUAGUGCCUGACGAUAGCUAACCAUGCGUAACCCGUUGUGUUACUCAGCCAUCACGUCGUCCACUAUGAAGGGCAGGGAGGUCCUGUGCAGGCUAACAGCAAGCCCAGACCAGAGGUUUUAGCUCUCUGUGGAAGAGCUGCGGAAAGUCUGCGUCCGGACAUACAACACCUUCUUUCCCACUUAAAACCCGACACGAAUUCUUCCAUUUACGCUGCUACGCAUCCCAAGUUGAACCAGAAUUCGUCGUAAGUUUUUGGGUUUUUUAGCAUCUCUCAUAAGCUGAUAGCACCAUUUUUUGGCAUAAUUAUAGAACACCAGCGAGGACUUUCCUCUCUGGAGUAUGUAAAGUCGUGUAUAGUGUAACAUUAUGUAACCAGCGACAGAAAUAUGCAGGCUUUGGGUGGGUUUCUUGUAGAUUAUCAGAAAAUAAAUCUCUUUUUAUACGAGCAAUAUUAUAAUAUAAUUCCAACUUAAUUAGUUAAUCAUCUUAUCACUAUCGUAUAAUUGGUUUUAACUAUUCUUGUAUUAUUAAAUCGAGAUGUCACGAUGCGGAUUAGUCUCUAUCCAACAAUUGAUCUCUUCUUGCGUAAAUAUCUCAUCUUUUAGGAACUAGAACAAUUUCUCGCAUAAAAACAAAAACGGAAGAAUAGUAGUUAGAAGCGGCUUUCAAAUUCUUUUCAAUAAGAACCCUGUCGACAAACUUUCGAGAAAAACGAAUUCCUAUCAAAUACAAAAUAAAUUUGGUAUCAAACUCGUCAUUUACGAACUUUAAGCCUGAAGUGUUUCACUUAUGGAUAGGGGCGGAUCUAUAGAAGAAUCGGAGUGAUCCCCAGACCACCUGAAAGUUGGUAGAAGAUUCUUUGAAUGACAUUUGAGGACCUCUUGAUUCUCUUGGAAGGUGGUGCUGGAGAGGUGGUCGGAACCUCUUCGGUUCCAUAAACGUGUGAUGUGCAAAGGAUGAUAUUUAGAGAAGUUGCGAUGAUGGUGGCGACGCCUUGGAUCGUACAUAGUAGGAUCACCAAAAGUUAAAAUUUUGGAUUUAUAACUACUUACAUGUGAUGAUAAAUAUCAAAUAUUAAGCGGCAACUCUACCUUAUUUCUCUAUAUUUACUUAGUAAUUAUAGUCUCGCGUUUCCGGCUUCCAGUAAUUUCCAAUUAACAAUUGUAAUUAUCAUACUUGCAGCAAUUGUAAAUAAAAUUAUUUUCCGGUGGGUCAUCGGAAAAGAAUUGUCAUGAUCAUUUUAUGAAUUCUUCCAAACGUGGAGGUGUGUUAAAUUGGUGAACAGCAAAGAAAGCGACUCCGGACAGACCCCGGCACGUCACGUCGCUACAAAAGCAACAAUUGAUUGGCUUCAACCCAACGGGAAUGCUUUGCCGAUAUUGCAAGUUAUUUUGUGGACCCACCCACCCAUGUCCACCAAUUAUUGUCCCAAAUGUCUCUCUGUCUCAACUAUAAACACCAUCGUUCUAAACGUGAACGAUAGAUUGAGAUUCUCUCCGAAUCUCUAUCGCGUCAGAUUCUUUAAUUUUGAUCAUUAACACAGAUUGUGCAGCCAGAGUCAUUUCUGUUUCUUUUUUCGGUACGAAUUUCAAUAUUCCACAACCACAGGGGGCACAAUCCAUGUUAACGACCAAGAUUAAAGGAUCUCGACGGAUUUUCAAAGAGAUCCGAAAAGGAUGUCAAUACGUGAAGAAUGUUACCAAAGCUGAAUACACCGCUAUAUGAUAACAUCCUGCAUCAAUAAUAAAGCAACAUGCAGAUAAAAAUUUGUAUAUAAAAUGUAAUAUUAUUACACAAAGUUGUCCGUUCAACAUUAUACAGUCGGAUUCGGGUAAAAGGAUCCGACUAGCAUUCAAAAUAAUAAGGGGCCAAAACCCUACAACAACACUUUUGAGACUAAACUUAAAUUCUAAAACAGCCGGGAUAACUGUUAUUUUCUACCAACAAUGACAAUGUGCUUCACAUAUUUCACUUAUACUACACAAAUUUUGAAAUAAUUAUCCCUUCUGCUUUAGCACCGAACAUCAUCGUUGUUCUCCUUGUUGGCCAAAACUCACUCCGCCGGAUUCUGGAGUGCCGUGUUCUGGUGAUUUCUUGUCGAAGUUGUAUGGUGCUGCACUCAUCACCCUGCACAGACGAGGACAGAACUCGGGAUGUCAUUAGCUGUCCAAUUCCGAUCAGAUAUUAUUCACUUCUAUUUUGAGGUAAGAAGAGCAAUUCAUAAGUCUCAAAAGAUUAUAGUUGGAAUGAACAAAAAGUACCUUUCCUUGCGCUUCUCCAAAAACCGAACCAAGGAUGCUUUGCGAGCCUGUGGAACAGCUGUACAGGAAAGCAGAUGCCAGUUUAGAUUGCAAACAUUGUCCAAUUAAGAAAAGAAAAAGGCAAAUGUUGAUACCAGAAGGAAUCAUAGAAGUUGCGGCAACAGAUCCAGCUGCAUUUGCUGUUUUUGGAGCCUCCAUUUUGUUAACAGGACUGGUUGGACGUCUGGAAGUUCUAGCUGCCAUUAGUUCAUCAGUGCUUGUGGACCCACUUGCUGACUGGGCGCCAGUAUGUGAAGAGACAGAUAAGGGGCUAGAAAGAGCAGGUGGAUGUAUAUUUGUAGCCUGAUUCACAGGAACACCGUCUUCCGCUGCCAACUUCGCACUAGGCACUUGAGAUUUGGGUUGUGCAGCAUUAGAGGAGUUAGAACAACUGUUUCCGGCUAAAAGCAUCAUUGCCUGAGCCUGAAAAGAUGUCCCAAAACAAUUUUAGAGCUCACAUGACCCAAUAGAAGGUUAACAAGAAAAACCCGCGUUUUCAUGUGUGCGCUGGCAACGUUUCUGUGUGUUCGACCUAGAGGGUGAGGGAGGGUACCUUCUCAGGGGAGAUAUCAUCAUAGACAUUCACAGUACCAGCAUAAAAGAUUGUCAAUUGCGAAGGAGACCCAGAGUUCUUAACAUUGUUCCUACAAAGAAUGUUUUAACAAACCUCAGAAUACAAUUGUUAUUAUGAAAUGGUCGACCAAGGACUCAAGCAUAAUAUUAAAAAUUACCACGGUUCAGUGAUCCCAGCAAUGGAACCACCUCCAACGGGAAGAGCUGAAAGUGGAGCCGUAACAGGAAUUCCUCCAAAUAUUUGGUGCUUCAUGGUGGCGGUGGAAAAAUUCUGACCAGUAGUCGCAAAGUGAUUCUUCAAGUAAGGGUCACUCAUUGGAACAGAAAUCCCUUGACUGGUAACUGAAAUCAUCUUCGCAUCAUGAGGACGGUGCACAGGAUGCACAUCGUGUUGCGUAUGAUAAGCUGUCAGGGAAAAUUGAGUCCCACCUUGCCUAUCGUGAUUGAAGUAAUUCUAGAUAAUAAAAAACACAAACCAAUCAGGGAAAGGGCAACAACAAUAUCAGAAGACAAUUUAAUCCUACACAUUAACCAAAUAAUGAAUAAAAUCGAAAUAGACCAAAUAUGCAAAAGCCAAGAGAACGGCAUCCUAAUUAACCAACAACGGGGGACAGCAUAUACCUGCGCUUCAUAUGUAGUUUGUUUUUUACAAGCGCCAAAUGCAUCCGUGGAGACGGAAAACAAGAAUGAAUCAGGUACCAUCUUUUUAGUCCUAUCAUCUUGAGCAGCUUUGAAGGACAUAAAAUGAGGAACUGCAGAGACCUUGUUUUGAAACGACGAAUGUGCACCUCCACCUCUUCCAAACCCUAAACAUCACAAACAAAUAAACAAAUUGUUCAAAAGUUCAAGUUACAAGAGCUUCCUACGUAUAAGCUUGAAUAGAUUUCGGUCCUCAUUUAUCGGCAUUCAAAGUUUCCUGCUAUGCAAACAUCCCACCAUGGACAAACCAAUACCAGAAGAAACUGACAGGAUGUGAUAAAUUACCACUGCACCUCAGCCGGGAAAUUUUGACUACCAUUAACAAUCACAUCUUAAAGAUAAAAUUGUUCACAUGUUUUUUUUUAAUCGAGCAAUAUUCUAAUUAAUCUAAUCUAAACUACGGGGAGACGGAUUCACAUGCAGGUUAAGUAAACUAACUUCAUAUAUAGACAAACCAUAAUAAACAAGCAUUAUGUACUUUCCACUAAACCAUUUAAUCAAUUCUAACAACUUAAUCAACCAGCCAUAUAAACUUAAAAAUUGCUCAACUCCAAUUGAAUUAGAAAAUAACACAUAAUUCAUAUACCAAAAGCUCAAAAAUUCCAAAUUUAUAAAAUUGAAAAGCUGAAAACUUUCUGUGACUAAAAGAUCAAACGGAAAAUCACGGACCUGGGUCUUUGCCGCCAUCGUUCUUGGUCUCCUCCUUCACCACAACCACCGGCUCCUUGGAGUUCAAGCCCAAGAAAUCUCUCUCCAUCUCAGCCCCACCACAAUCACUAAAAAAAAGCACACAAAAAAGUCCACCUGACAAAGAAAAAAAAAGACCAACCAACAAAUCCUUCAACCAAAAUCCCGAGCUAUCUGAGACUGAGAGAGAAUAAGGCAAAAACUUCCGCCUUCAGCAAACAAAAACAUAAAAAUAUUACGGAGUCCCGGGUCUAGAGAGAGAAGGAAGAGAGAGAGAGAGUGGGAGUUGCUUUGACAAGGAAGGAAGAGUUGUAAGUGAUCUCGACCGUUUAAAUUUUAAAAGUUUGAUGAUAUGGGAAUAGGAUGACUUUACUUUAUAUAGAAGCCGGUGCAUGUUGAGAUUAAGGUUUACAGUUAUAGUCCAGUUAAGGUGACCGGCUGGGCGGGUAAUGGAACCACGUGCGGGAAGCUUUCGAGAGAAGUGGGACCCCAGAUUGGUUCCCACGUGCGAGUGAGUUGUAGCGCAAAUGUGCACCAUAAAGUAGACACGUGAUUAGAUGGAUAAUUGAUUGGAUAACCUCGUGAACAAUAGAUGGACAUAGGCCUUGUUUGGUACCGCUGUGCUUUGGAAGCAAAAAAACUGUUUUUGUUGUACUUUGAUAAUAAACUUAUUUUUGCUGUUUCACGUUUUCAACCUUUUUUUAUCCAAAAUUGUGAAAAAAAACUGUUUUUACGUGUUUACCAAACAUUUUUGAGCUCAGCUUUUUUUAUACUCACUUUUUAUAAAAGCACAUCAGUAUCAAACUAGUACAUAAUCCCCCCUCCCCCACAUGAAUUGGGAAAACGAUUUAGAGCUUAUUUGAAUGUAUUUUUAAAAUAACCGAAAACGUUUUUUGUGAAAAUAUUUUUAGAAACAAUCUUUAGUAAAAAUGCUAAUAAAUCAUGGCAAAACACUUGAAAUGCUUUUGGAACUCAUAAACAUUUUCUCUAAAAGAGCUUUCAAUCAUUUUAAAAGCACAUUCAAAUGAGCCAUUAUUUCCUCGUAUCAAGCCGAUUAAUCAUCGGGAUCCUUAAGAAUUUGUAAAGCUUAUUGUAAGAGAAAUGCAACGGAGAUUUUCGGACUAUCCAUGCAUUCCCCGCCAUUUUAUACUUUUCACAUAAUAUCUUAUAAUGUUAUUACGAAAAUUAUGUCAGAAAUAUGAUGUGACAGAUAGUCUAUGAACAGUUCUACAUAUGAAAGAGUAUGCUUAACAUUUCUCUAAAUGUAAUUCAAAAUGUAUGUUACUAUUGUGCUGAGUUUGAAAUUAUAAUUUAUUUCUUAUUUUUUAUUGAUAUAUUAUUGUAUCACAAUGGAAUUAAGGAAUAAUUAAUGAUAAAAGAUCUCGUAUCGUGAGUAAUUAGUAUGCUAUCAUAUGGAUCAUAUUCAAUUCCAAUUUCACAUGUCACGGUGUUUUUGAAAUUAUGGAAAGUAUAUCAGGUUGAGAAAAACCUAAAUAAGAUAUUCAACCAUGUCAUUCGUAGAAUAGAGCUUGCUGGCAGCACUUUAACGUCGACAAAAAUUUAAGUUUAGUACAGUCUAGGUAGAGGAGUUGUUGAUCCCGACACUCUUACUCUUCAAUAUUUCUACAACUAGCAAAUUUAAAUUCUCGGUCGCUUUGUUUUAAUUUUCCACCAGCAGAGAAAAGGAAAGGAAGUUUUCAGUCUCUUUCAAACCGUGACUGUGAGCUGGGCCGUGUCCCCCACUCACAGAAAUUGUGAGCUCCACCACAAGAUGAAGAACCCCUAUGUGUUGCACAAGAAAAACGUUCUAGUGUCCUUUUCUUCCCAAUGAUAUUUUGAGGUUUACGUUGUAGAUCUGUAAUUUGAACGUCUACGCACAUGAUAUACAUAUUAUAUCUAACCAUUCUUUGUUUUUAAGUGCAUUCGAUAUUUUAAUGUAACAACUCAAUUAACCCAUAUAGUUUGGAUGGAAAAAAAAAACCCUCUUAUAUGGAACAUACUUGUAGAUUAAAUGAUUGAAAACAUUUUUAUAAAAAAAAAAAAUUGGAGUCCAAAAGCACUUUGAAAUGCUCAUGCAAAUGCUUUUACAGGAUUAAUUGGUGCUUCUUGCAGUUUUUUUUUAUUAUUAUUAACUUGCAUUUUUAAUAAGUAUUGAUUCUAAAAAUAUUUUCUCUAAAUGAGUUUCAAUCAUUUAAAAUAACUUUCCAAACCAGCUCUUAGUAAAUGCAACAUUCUUUUCAUUCCUUAAACCUUGUUAAAAUCUGCACAUCGCCCCUUGUUCCAGCUGAACUUGACCAAAAAAAAAAACAAAUUAAUGUUUUACCAAAAAAAAUUAUUUGUUAAAGAGGUUCAUGAGGCUUUUUUAGGUUGUGUUGUAAAUGCAUUGGCUAAAUCUAUUGAUGGUGGGGGUGAAAUUUCAUCUUCUAAAUCUCGAUUAAAUGAGCCUAUCGGUCCUAGUUUUAUUUCGAGACGUCCCGCAUACGAGCCUCUUCAAACAUGACUUAUUGCUCUCUCUCCAAUGUGGAAUUCAUGCUAACACUCAAUCUCAAACUGGUUAAGAGAGGUUUCAAAUUUGACUCGCACAAUGUAAAUACGACACAUACAUAUAUAGUGGAAUAACAAUACUUGACUACUCAAAGAAUGAGUAUUCCUAGUCAAAACUAUUCAUUACCGAUUCAUAGAACUUUAUAUUUAUAAUCGGAACCAUUCAUAUUGUAAAUACUCUUUAAAGAUCGCCUCUGCCAAAAAAAAAUCAAUUAAAACUAAGGUCGUUUAAUCAUCAAAUUGUAUAAAAAUAGAUGAACGGAAUUGGUAAAAGCAUUGCAUAUCGUCUAUGUAUUUGCUACAAUAAAUUGACUAAACGACCUUAUUUUUAAUUUAUUUUUUGAAGAGAGGAAUUUUACAAGUGAUUCAUAAUAUGAACGAUUAUGAUCAUAAGCACAAAGCUCUAUAAUUCAAACAUGAAAAAUUCUUGAAUAUGAAUUUUUACUCAUUCUUGAAUAACCAAGUAUUAUUCAAUUAUGAAUUUUACCAUUCAUAUAUCACAAUAACUAUCAUAUCUAGUUCCUUCCAAGCCAAGAUUCAUUCCGUUUAAAGCCACACUGAUCCUAGUAAAACGGUAUUGGUUGGUAUCGUUUCUAUAUGUAUAGUAUACAUACAAUAUGCCACCUGUUUUGGUUUGUUUACUUCGAUCAUGGUGCAUAUUGGCAUGGGGACCAAAUAGUUGAGCAAUCAUUUGUCAAACGAUCGAAAUAACACAACCGAUGUUAUACGUGACAUGCGACAGCCGACGGGUCACAUUUAUAUAGUUUCUGUGGUGUAUUUUAAUGGUGGUUGAAACUUGGUGUUUCACACUACAGUAAAAUGAGGACAAUUAAGCUAAGCAACAAGCAAAUACUCCAACUUAAAUGAACACAAAACAUAUAAUUUCGAGGAUAAAAACAUGCAAAUGCAUAUCAUCAACAUUCCAAUAUUGACUACCCACUUAAAUAAUUUGCAGCCUUUAUCGUUUUCCUCUAAAAUAUCUCUACUCUUUCAUUCUCUUUUAGGAGUUUUAACGUAUACGAAGAUUAUAACUUGACAUCUUUCAUGAACAAUGAUUUAUAAUGAUAGGGUAAAAAAAUAUUGUGUUUCUCGAAUGAUAGUUUAGCUAAUUUUCUUGCAAGUAGACAUAAUAACGGAGCUAGCUUGGGGCCAAUGGUUGUUCAUGACUCCAACAACUUCUUAACACUACGUAAAUUCAUAUAUAAAUUUAUCUUUAACCUCAACUAAGGAGAGAGUGAACAACGUUAAAUUACAACCUAUUGUUGCUUCUUCUCUCUUCAAUUGUCUUUGACCCUAACUAAGGAGAGAGUGAACAACGUUGAAUUACAACUUAUUCCUGCUUCUUCCUUCUUCAACAUUCUUCUUCUUUCCCAUGUCUUCCUUCUUCUUUUUCUUGUGCGCAACAUAUGCUUGACGUAAAGCUUCACUAUAUAAGUCUUGGCAGGUAGUGAGGCAGGUCUUGAAAAUGAUCUAGCCUGGGCACACCUUGACAGAUGCAAAUACUAGAAGAACACAUCAACUAUUGAUAGAUGUCAUCAUAAGCUUUCAGCGAAUAUUCGUAAAUUUAAUAAGUAGCCACUAGAGGCUCAACACAACCGGUGCAAUAAAAAAAAUUUUGAUCGAAAUUGUAAUUCAAAUAUAAUAAAAUCCUAACUCGGGCCACUGAGUAGACAUUUCAAUAUUUCUUUCUGAUGACAAUUCGAUACGUGUGCGAAGAUUUUGUGCGUGUGUGUGUGUGUUUUAAUGCUUUAUUUUUGUGAAUAAUAUUAUUUAAUGAGACACACAUGCUGCAGUUGAACUUGAGCUCUCUAUUUUUAAUUCACAAAUAUGCAUGGCCACCGGUUAUCAUCUUUGAAUGAACAAAACCAUGUGCUAAGGCUGCCUUCAAAAUUUAAAAUAUGUCAUAAUUUAAUCCCUUCAUCUCCCCUUUUUUUAGCUUCUCCAGCAUAUACUGCAAAGUUGACCACGCACAGGCACUUGAUUCUAAAUUUCCAUGGGCCUGCCACAACAGGAACAGGAAGCAUGCAUAUAUAUACAUAUGUAUAUAUGUAUAGAUAUAUAUGUGUAUAUAUGUGUGUGUGUAUUACAUUUGGCCGAUUCAUAGUUUAAUCAUCACCACAUUUCAAAUGUACAAUUUGGCACGCCACAUGAAUUAAAAAAGGGGUGUGAUAUCCACACACCCCAUUUUACUUCUCACACACCUUUUAAUUUUCGGCUGUCGGAUCGGAUGAAUUGAAGAAGAUCAACGGACAGAAAUUAUUAAGGGGUGUGUGAGAAGUAAAAUUGGGUGUGUGGAUAGCACACCCCUUAAAAAAUCUACACAUUUUAACUUCUGCAAUUUAAAAAUUCAUUAUUUUGGAAACAAAAAUCUAUGUAAGUAUUUUAUUCGGUUGUGACCGUGACCUUUUGGUUUUUAUAUCCACAACUAGAAUAAUUAAAUAUUCCCUUUUAAAGCUCAUCUCUUUUAAUUUUGUGUCAAAUUUUGAGAGACUCCGAUUACUAAACUACACUAAUUACAUUGAUAUUAUUCAAGAACUUGUAUGUAUAAAUUUCUUAUCACAAAAGGUUGAUAUAAAUACGAAUAAAACCAUAUAUAAGUCGUACUUAAUUUUAUCGCUUUUCAGAAAUGAAAUUUUGGUAUUCAACUCAUUGAACAAUGCUUAAGUUGUCAUUAAUUUACAAUCUAUUAAAAUUAGAAUAGUGCUAUUCACACAACUAAUUUUAUUUCUCACACAUUUUUAAGAACUUUUGACCAUUAGUCUUCUAAAUUCAUUAUACCCUACGACCAAAAAUGGAAAGAACGUGUUAAAAGGUAAAGAAUGAGUACGUGAGGCAGAGAAAAUCUUGGCACAGCAGCAGCAGGUCUGCUCCAAACUGAAUGCAACACAGUGCGAAAGAAGGACAAGAUUGAGGGGAAUGUUACUCUCCUCUUAGCAAUUGCCAUUUAAAGUAAAGGAGAGCAAAACUUUUCUUUCUCUUCUCAGCUAAAUAAUUUACAAGAGCUUUAAUUUUGGCUGUGAUGCGUCAUUCAGUUUUUUUUUUUUUUUUUUUUUUUUUUUUUUGUAUUUAUAGUUAGAUGUUUUAAAUUUAAAUUUUGUAAAUAACGAGUUCAAUAAUAAUUUAUUUCACUGCCUCAUGAGGUUGAGUUUUGGGAGGUUGUGGAGGCCGAAUCAUGGCCAUUUCUCUCCACAGCUUGCAAAGGCACAUUUCAAACUAACUACUAACUUAUCUUGCAGCACACAAAGCAGCAAGAAUGUGCCAUCUUCUCGUAAAGCUGUGCGAGGGAGCGGACCUAGAAAUUCAGGGCCCUUCCAUCCAUUUCCUUGAUCACAAUUUGUUAUAAAGAAACCAGGCUUAUUAACUUAACCAGAUUCGAACGUAAAUAAAACUCUUAAGUAGAAAAUAGUUGAAAAUGACUUAAAUAUAUGAAGCAAAGUACGUUAAACUACAGAUCUACUACAUAUAAAUAUAAACAAACGAAACUUGGGCAAGGUACAACUUCUUGCAGCCACUUCUCUUUUGAGCUUACAAAGAUUUAUAUGUGGUGUGGGAUGAAAAGUAAAUAGGUUUUACAUGAGGAAAUCAAUACUACAAUACUAAGGGAAGGUAGCAGAGCUAACAUCAUUCUCCCAGCAGCCGACCCCAAAGAGGCAGGCAGCAGCAGAAUUACAACAACAACAACAACAAAGCCUUUUCCUACUAAGUGGGGUCGGCUAUAUGAAUCCUAGAACGCCAUUGCGCUCGGUUUUGUGUCAUGUCCUCCGUUCGAUCCAAGUACUCUAAGUCUUUUCUUAGAGUCUCUUCUAAAGUUUUCCUA